rnacentral:lncRNA from 1 species
GAUUCGAGGAUUUGCGAUAUAACAACAUAUCCUGAAAGCUUACGAUAAUUACAAUGUUAUCCAAAAUGUUCCCUAUACUUGAAUACGUAGCUUUGCUUUCUGUGAUAUUGUUUCAAUUGGAGCCUAGAAUUGCUGAUUCUAACAACACAGUAAUGAGGUGCAUUGAUGAGGAGAGAGAAGCACUUCUCACUUUUAAACAGAGCCUGGUGGAUGAAUAUGGUGUUCUGUCUUCCUGGGGAAAAGAUAAUGACAAAAGAGAUUGCUGUAAAUGGAGAGGAGUCCGUUGUAGCAAUAAAACUGGCCAUGUCAAGGUGCUCAAUCUUCGAAGAUCCGACGAUGAAAAUUCUCGAGGGACAGUCUUGAAAGGUACAAUUAGCCCUGCUUUGCUUAAAUUGCAUGAUUUAAGACAUUUGGACCUUAGUAACAAUCACUUCGGUGGAAGCCCACUUCCUGAGUUCAUUGGUUCCCUCAGUAGAUUGAGGUACCUCAAUCUCUCUUGUGGUACAUCUUUAUUAAAAGUACCUCGUCCAUUCCAGUACCUUUCAGGAUUGGUAUAUCUUCACCUAGAAAACUCUAAUUUAUUUAGUUUGGGAAGCCUACAGUGGCUUUCUCAUCUUUCUUCUUUAAGGCACCUAGACCUGAGUUACAUUAAUCUCACUAAAUCUAGUGAUUGGUUUCAAGUAGUUGCCAAGCUCCAUUCCCUAAAAACAUUAGUCCUACACUCAUGUGCUCUUCCACCUAUCAAUCCUUCAUCUAUUUGGCACUUCAAUUUGAGUACGUCUAUUGAGACCCUUGAUCUCUUCGACAACAGUCUCCCUUCUUCAUCAGUAUACCCUUGGCUUUUCAAUCUUAGUCGGAAUAUUCAAUAUCUUAACCUUGGCUUUAACUCAUUACAAGGUUCAAUUCCAGAGGCUUUUCAACUAAUGGUUUCUCUUAGAUUUCUCUAUCUCACCUCUAACGAACUUGAAGGUGGGAUUCCAAAAUUCUUCGGAAAAAUGUGUAGCUUAAAUAGAUUAUGCUUGCCUUACAAUAAACUCAGUGGAGAUCUCUCGGAGAUGAUUCAAAAUCUGUCUGGUGGAUGCACGAUGAAUUCACUGGAGGGUGUAUGUUUAGAAGGCAAUGAUAUCACAGGGCCAUUACCUGAUCUUGGAGGUUUUUCAUCCCUAAAAAUAUUAGUACUUGGAGAAAAUCGAUUAAAUGGAACAAUAGACAAAAGCCUCAGCCAGUUGUUGAAGCUCGAGUCUCUGUCACUUGGUAGGAAUUCAUUCACAGGUGUUAUCUCUGAAACCUUUUUUUCCAAUAUGUCCCACUUGCAGAUGUUGUACUUGAAUGAUAACUCUUUGACUUUGAAAUUGAGCCAUGAUUGGGUUCCUCCUUUUCAACUGAAAUCGUUAAGUCUUGCCUCUUGCAAGAUGGGACCUCAUUUUCCAAAAUGGCUUCAAACUCAAAAUCAACUUAUUUCCCUUGAUGUCUCCAAUAAUGGAAUCUCGGAUGCUGUCCCUGAUUGGUUUUGGGAUCUGUCUAUUGAACUCGUUUUUUUAAAUCUCUCUAACAACCAGAUCAGGGGUAAACUUCCUGAUUUGUCUUUUUUAAGAUAUGAUGAUAUUGUUAUAGACGUCAGUUCAAACCACUUUUGUGGCCCAAUUCCACCACUUCCGUCAAAUUCUACAUUCUUGAAUCUCUCAAAAAAUAAGUUCUCAAGAUCAAUUACUUUCUUAUGUUCUAUUGUAAAAAACACAUGGAACUUUUUUGAUCUCUCGAGUAACUUAUUAUCUGGAGGGCUUCCCGAUUGUUGGUUGAACUUUGAUAGCCUAUCCAUUCUUAAUUUGGCAAACAAUAGCUUCUCCGGGAAAAUUCCAGACUCGAUGGGCUUCCUCCAUAAUAUCCAAACACUGAGUUUACACUCCAAUAGGUUAACCGGGGAGUUGCCUUCAUCUUUAAAAAAUUGCUCACAACUGAGAGUUUUGGAUCUUAGGAAGAAUGCAUUGUACGGUGAGAUACCAACCUGGAUAGGGGGAAGUCUUCAAAAUUUGAUUGUUCUUAGCUUGAAAUCUAAUAAUUUUCAUGGAAAUAUACCUUUUCAGUUAUGCCAUCUGGCGUUCAUUCGAGUUCUGGAUCUCUCUUUAAACAAUAUAUCGGGAAAGAUACCAAAAUGUUUCAAUAAUUUUUCAGCCAUGACCCGAGAAAAAAGUUCCAAUCCUAUCAUUGGGUUGGCUGACAAAAUCUGGAUUUUCCCUAGAUAUGUAUAUAGGUAUAGUUAUUUGGACAAUGUUCUGUUGACAUGGAAAGGAAGUGAACACGAGUACAAAAGUACUUUGGGACUUGUAAAAUGUCUUGACCUUUCGAGUAACAAACUACAUGGAGCAAUUCCUGAAGAGAUUAUGGAUCUUGUGGGGUUGAUUGCUUUAAACCUUUCAAGAAACCAUUUAACUGGACCAAUCACUCCAAAGAUUGGUCAGUUAAAUUCAUUGGAUUUCCUUGAUUUAUCUAGAAACCAGUUUUCCAGAAGCAUUCCGUCUAGCCUUUCUCAACUAAAUGGUCUUAGUGUCUUGGACUUGUCGUCCAACAACUUGUCAGGAAAAAUCCCAUUAGGUACUCAGCUUCAAAGCUUCAAUGCUUCGGUGUAUGCUGGAAAUCCUGAACUUUGUGGCCUUCCACUUCCAAACAAAUGUCCGGAUGAAGAAUCAACUCCAUUGCCAGGCAGAAAUGAUGGUGCAAACACUCUAGAAGAUGAGGAUGAUCAGUUUAUGACUCUCGGAUUUUACGUGGGCUUGAUUCUUGGUUUCUUUGUUGGAUUCUGGGGUGUCUGCGGAACUUUAAUGCUGAAUAGGUCGUGGAGACAUGGUUACUACAACUUCUUGACUGGUAUGAAAGAUUGGCUUUAUGUGACAGCAGCUUUGAAUAUUGCCAAACUGCAAAAGUUCAGGAACUAAUUAAACGGUAAUACUCCUAAGUGUAUAGUGUAUUUUAGUAAAGAUUAUUGGCUUUCACAUAUGCUUUUAAUUUCUUCAUCCUUAGACUUGACUCUUUCCUCUUACAAGAUUUUGUUUAUCAAAUCAAUUGUUACUAUUUUUUUGGCAGGGUCUCCCGGUGAUGGCAUCUUGUCAUUAAUUUUCAGAGUACUCAUUUCAUUUUUGGAAACUUUCUAAAAAUAAAGUUGUGCUCCCAUAUGAUGCUCAUUGUAUUAUUGAGUAUAUGCCUAAAGAAACUUGGAUGUGUUUCUCUUUAGUCCAUCAUCGAUUUAUGCGUUUAUUAAUUAUAUGCUCUUGUUCGGAGAAAUUCUAGAGUAAAUCAGAGGUAUUACACCCAAUUAGAGUUUAAUUAUACUACUAAUUGGAAUAAAGACGGUCAAAUUCUGCUCUGUUGUUGAUUAGUGUUAGAAUUUUUAUUUCUUGGAUUUUUGUGUGCCUUACACCUCUUUAUUAGUAUUGAAUAAACUUCUAACAAUAAAAGAGAGAUCUCGCUACAGGAUGUUCAGUGAACAUAAGCAUAAAGCUAAAACACGCUACAUAAAAAUUAAAAUAUCUAAGGUGCAUUUGUACUUUGUAGAGAAUACACGCUUAAUUUAAAAUUCUAGUUGUAUGAAACAUGUUAUAGAAUUUUCUAGACGACAUGGAUAUUUCUUAAUAGAAUAUAUAUUUUAUGAAUGAUUUUUAAAAAGGACCUUAUCUUUUGUUGGGUAAUUUUAAUUACUAUAUGUGUCAAUGUACAAGUAUACACAACAAGUAAUAUAUUGAUGAGUCUAAAUUAAAAUAAAAUAAUUAAUGAAAUUAAUGAACUAACUAAAUUAAAAUUGCAAAUAAACAAAAUGCAAAAAAGAAAAUUCUCAAGUCAAACAUAAGGACAAAGUCAAUGGGAAUAGAGUAGUUGGGUGAUUAAACUCACUUAAUUGUAUUGAUUGUUUUUCCAAUUAAGAUUAUGUUGCUUUAGCAUCUCCUACAACACUAAGCAGAAUCUCUCACGUAUUCUCAGCUGUCGCUUGUUGAAUAUCUUAUAUCUAAAUACAACCUAAUAAUGACUAGUUGUUACGCUAACAUUAAAUAUAGCAUCAUGUGUUCUAAGUUCUAAUUGCCCUACAAGGUAAAUCGGUAUGUCUAGUUCUUUAUUAAUUUUAGAUUAAGCAUGUCCCUAUUUAAAUCAAUAUUAACUCAACUUGGGAAACCCAAUCUAAAGCCAUUUAUUGUCUUAAUUUGUUCCACUAAGUUAGACAUUUUUUAGGUUGUUUCUUAGCUAGUAUUCACUAAAUGGGUGGUCAGCCGAAAUAGGGAAUUGCAAUAAGUAAAAUCAAGACAAAAUGCUAUAGUAAAUACAGAGCAGCACACAUAUAUCAUUCAAAUAACCAUUAAGCUUAUUUAUCACUCAAUCACAACAAAGUUUAGUUUAGGAUUUGCGAUAAAACAGUAACAAAAAUAAGUUUAGCCAUGAAAUACUGAACUUAUUUAAGUUUAUAAUCUAUAAUAUAUUUAUAUAUAUAUUAUUAUUAUUAUUAUUAGGCUUUAAUUAUGUUACAUGAUCAUAUAACAUACAUAAUUCUUCCACAGCCGUUAGAUGAAAAUUCAACGACUAUGGAAGAAUCAUAUAUCUUACAUGAUUAUGUAAGAUAAUAAUCACUUUAUUAUUAAGCUAACAGAAGGAUGAUGUAAUACAUAUGUACAUGCUUCUAGACAACAAAUUCAGAGAAGCAUUACGCAAAGUCAACAGUUAACUAAUCAAAGUCAGCGGACAAUUACGUUUGGUCCUUGCUUGGGAAUUUCUAAUUUCAAUGGCAGCAAAGUCUGUGGAAAAUUACUUUAAAUGAAGUAUGUACACAAAUGCACACCAAUUAAGAAUAUUACAAAAAUCAUUUAGAUGGUACACAUCAUACAAAAACACAGCUUCAGUUUCGGAAGGGGACCAUUAAUUGUUCAAAAUCGAUAUACAAACAUGGUGGCCCUAGCUAAGAAGAUAACAUGCAUGAUAAGGAUAAACAAUUACCCCAAUCUUUCUUUUGUGGACAUGUGAAUAAAACAAAGACAGAUUCUGAAAGAAGGCGUAUCUAUAGAUGGCCAAUUCAGAACUUAUUUAAGAUCAUACGUUAAUUUUAUUUUUAAUUGAGAUAGAGCCUCUCAUGUUGGCGUUAAUAUGUAGACAAAUAUGAAUCUGAUGCAUAAUAGUACUUUUGAAAUUUUGUUUAAUUAAUUCUUAAGUUGAAAUAUAAAACAAGUAUUCCCCAAUCAACCACGAAGAAUUAAUACCCAUUUAGUUUUUUAAUCUGAAAUUUAAAAUCAGUCUGAAUUUGGUUGAAGUCUUAGCUGAUAGUUUGAUGUGUUUUUUUUUUUUUUUUUUUAAUAUCUAAAUAUAAUUGACAUUAUAUUUGUUCUUAUAAAUAAAAAAAAGUUAAAUACAGUUAUUUAACAUUUAUAUCCUUGUAAGUUAAAAUGCAUAAAGGGCUUAAGUUUUAUAGUUUAGCAAAUAAGUAUAUUUAAUAGAGAUGUUUUAGGAUAUAAUAUUUACUUCUUCGUGCCUUUUCCUAUUUAUAUAAAAGUCACAAAAAUUUACUCUUUAUUUUUAAUUCAAAUGUAAAUGUAUGAAAAAUCAUAUAUAAGUUAAAAAAACAAACGAACAAUUUUAAAAAAGUUUGAAAUAAAAAAAAUUCAAAUUUUAGACAUUUAACCAAUAAGCAUCAAUUUCAUCUUGGUCAAGAGAGUAGUUGGCUACCAUGAAAUUUCUGAUCCCUGUCUAGUAUGGGCAUGUCAUGAAUUAAGCUACGUAUUUUAAUUUUUGCCUUAAAAAAAUUUCCAUUCUUUGUUCUAGAAAAUUGAAAAAAAAAAGAAUAAAAAAUAGUUCACGUUGGUAUUAUCAUUAUAUUAGUAUUAUAAACAUCUCAACCGUUACUAAGUACUCUAUGGCUCGGGUCUUUAGCAGGGUUAUUGAUAGGAAUCAACCGUUUAUUCGCUGACGCAGUAUCAAUUACCAUUGGUUGUUCUUCCACUGUUUAAGAUACAGAUUUAAGAGCAAAGCAAUUUGAAUGCUUGUAAUUGUUACUCUUGCAUCCAAUUUUCCCCAGGAAUUACAGGAUCAACAAUCCCAUCAAACAUAUUACUUUUAACGUGGCUUAACAGGAUCAACAAUCCCACUGCAGUAGUCAGGUGAUUUUGUCCAUGAUUUAUUCAAUUCAGUCUACAGUUCACUAAAUAUGAAAGGAAAGCAUUAAUAAAUUAUCAGGACAAGCUUUUUAUAAGUGAAUUUCUGCCCAAACAAAGCAUCAAGUGACGAUAUAUACCAAAACUGUAAACAUCAUAGUUCUCUUAUUUUCAAUAAAAUGUGUUUUAUUUUUUUGGGUAAACGUAAACCAACGCCAGUUUUAUUUUGUUUCUACGAGGCUUUGUCAUCAUUUUGUGUGUUUACCAUUUUUCCACGGCAAGAUUACAUGGAUGUUGAUUGUACGACUUUCUUUAUCCAUGCUCUGCAUUGUUGUGUGUUUGGGAUUCGCCGGCGACUUUUCUUGGCUUUAUUCAUCUCUCAAAUUUUCAUAUCCUAACACAUAAUCAACGCGCAGACUGAAGACUUUUCUUGGAUUCGAUAAUUGAUGCAGAUUAUACACAGUAGUAUAAAUUGGCAUGGAGUCCAGGAGUUUCGAUAUAACAGCAUAUCCUCAAAGCUAAUGAUAAUUAUAAUGUCAUCCAAGUUGUUCCUUCUAUUUGAAAAUAUAGCUUUGUUUUCUGUGAUAUUUUUUCAAUUGAAGCCCACGACUGCUGAUUCUAACAACAUAAUAAUAAGGUGCAUUGAUGAAGAGAGAGAAGCGCUUCUCACUUUUAAACGGAGCUUGGUGGAUGAACAUGGCGUUCUGUCUUCCUGGGGAAGAGAAGAUGACAAAAGAGAUUGCUGUAAAUGGAGAGGAGUCCACUGUAGCAACACAACUGGCCAAGUCAAGGUGCUCAAUCUUCGAACAUCCGAUUAUGAAUUUGCUCGGAGGAAGUUCCUGAAAGGUACAAUUAGUCCUGCUCUGCUUAAAUUGCAUGAUUUAAGACAUCUGGACCUUAGUAACAAUGACUUUGGUGGAAGCCCAGUUCCUGAGUUCAUUGGUUCCCUCAGCAAAUUGAGGUACCUCAGUCUCUCUUGCGGCGGACCUUUAGAACUCCCUCGAAAAUUCCGGAACCAUUCAAGAUUGGAAUAAAUGCAAUUCAGGUAUAAACUUCGUUUCCAGAAUCUACUGGGGUUCUUCUUAUCAGGUAUGGAUUUAAAUGUAAAAAUGAAAGAGGGUCGUCCAUUAGCAUUUCCAGAAAUGGUGGUGUAAAAGGAUUGUAGAAAAUUAUUUUUCCUUAAGGUUUAGAGUUCGAAGUUCGAACGGUAGAGAAAAAUGGCAGAGGCUUUGAAGAAAAUCUAUUUUGGUUGGGUGCAGAACUGCAGAUAAUUGAAGAUCUAAGGAAGAUAGAAAAUGGGAGGAGCUUAGGGAGAAAUACAGUAGAAGGACAAAACCUGAAUCCUACUCUCAUUGUGUUGAGUUUGGGAAAUCGAAUGGAGCUGUAGUUUGUAGAGGGUAUAUUAUCUACGAUGAAUGGAAAGUAAUCCAACAAGGGCUUGUAGAUAGAUUUGGGCACUCUUUCGAUCUGAAACUAUUCCACAAUGAAAAAGUAACUUUUUUCUGUCAAAACACAAAUGGAAGUAACCGGUUGGGUAAUAUAUGCAUUUGCAGAUUGCAGGGCAAUGUCAUCAUGGUGUUACGAGGAUGGGUACAACAUUAUUGAUAGAUCAUUGAAUGAUUGAUAUUGAAAGAUUAAAAAUUACUUUUAAGGUUUUGGCUCAUUGUUCGUAGUUAUUAUUAUUGACACGACUGAACAACUAGCUAUAUUACCAUUACGAUUAUUAUGGGGUACAAUACCUUGAUUGAUUAAUUGGCUGGAUCAUCGGGAUUAUAGGUGAUAUAUUAAUUGUUGGGCCACAAGAUUAUAGGUGAUAUAUUGAUUAGCCGAGUCAUCGAGAGCGCAUGUGACACUAUGUGACAUGAGCAAUUGAAUAACAUAAAUAUUUUAUUGAUAAAUGAUUUCUUAGAUGAUUAAAUAUUUGAAAAUGAUUAUUACAUGAUGACUUAACUUAAAAUGAAUUUUAUCAUACUCAUGCAAUAGAUUGUAAAAUGAAUAUUGUUUUCCAAUUUAUGGUUCCUUAUAAUGAUUAUUAUGUAUUUUAUUGUUAUUGGUAAUCUCAUGCAUGAAUUUACUUACCAAGUUGAUGGCUCACCCCUCGUCUCCAACAUUUUGCAAGUUAAUUUUAGAGAUGUGGGGUUUUUGGGUUAGAGAAGAGGAUUUUUUAGCUAACACAUUUUCUUUGAUGAAUAAAUUGUCAUUAUUUUGGUUAUUGUUCACAGUUGAAUUUGUUUUGGAUGAUUAUUGUUAUAUUUAUUAUUUUAGAGAUUUUAUUUUGAUAGUGGACAAUAUUGAUUUUUAUAUUAAUAAGAUUAAUAUCACAAGGUUUCAUUCAUUCCCAAUUCCUCUUGUAAAUUAUAGGGUGAAUUUGGGUUAUUACAUUAUUAAUUAAAUUUCUACAUAGAUGACAUUACAAAGAUGUUGAUCAAAGACUAAAAUAUUUCGGAGAAGAUGGUAAUGUUGUUAGGGUGCACCAAAUUUAAAACCUUACUACUAAUAUAAAUAAUUAGUACAGAGCGAGUAAGGAUCGAUCCCACAGAGACUAUGCUAGUUGUAUUUAUUAUCAACUAUGCUAGUUGUAUUUAUUAUCAACUCUAAAGCAGAACUUAAAAUAAAAUAAUAAUAGAAAUAAUAAUAUAAAUUAAUCUAACUAAAGAAAAUGCCAACUAAAAAUAGAGAAAAGGGGGGUUUUUGAAUUUUUAACUAAAUAGCAAGAAAUAAAGAAAUUAAAACUGCGAAAAUAAUAAUUUAAUAAAAACUCUAAUUAAAGGAGAAAGAAAUAAUAAUGAGAAAAACUUUGGUUAAAUGAUCGCCACCACCAAACCUGCACAUAAUAUAUCAAUUCUAUCAUUAAUUUAUAUUGAAACUAUCAACUGUAGACAACAAUAAUCUCUGUUAGUCUCAAUCUUUUCUUAGUAUGUCGUUAGGCAAAACAAGCUCUUCAUCUAAUCUCUAACUAUUAAAUAAUUUAAAACAAACUCUUUAAAUUUAAGAUAAUAGAAGCAUUAAGUAGAGAAAGAUAUUAGGUUGAUUUAGGCAAUAAACACACAAGCUUGGAUUAUUUAACUUAGGUUAUGUUCUCCAAUCGAAAUCACUGAUUCCAACCUACUACUAAUUAUUAAAAUAUCAAGACAAUUAUGGAUCAAGAAUUUUAAUCUAGCAAUAGAAUUUAUUCAAGUUCUAUCUAAUUGGCCACUCAAAUAAGACAAGAAUAAAAUCAUAAACAUUAAUUAUAGAAGAACAUAAACAAUCUCAAUUAAAUAAAUUGAAUGAUAGAAAUUAAAAAAUUCAAUUGCAUAGCAUAUUUAGGGUUUUGAAUUCACCCUCAACCAAAUAAAAAAUCUAUUCUAACAUAAUUAAAUUGAGAAUAAAAGAGUUAAUAAAACUAGACAUAGAGACUAAUUCAAACGGCUGUCUCCUCUAUUUUUUCUCUUCUCCUUUGCGGCUGCAAAUUAUUUUUGUAUGUGUGGCUGCCGAUCCUCCAAUUCUCCUCUAAUUCUGCCGCAAGUCUAGCUUUUAUAGUAGCUUUUAUUGUGCGCCUUAAAUCCUCACAUGGAAAGGAUUAAAAACAAAAGCCAAGCCGCCACUUUUUGUUCAUGCAUGCACAUUACUUGUACAAUUAAUUGGCCAAUGAAUAUUGUUAAAGCCAAAGCCCAUCACGUGCUUGCCAUUUAAAGCCAUGCCAAAAUAUUUGCUUCCUCAAUUAAUCACAAUAUAUGUUUCCCACGUGAUUGCAUGCAUGUUGAUUAAUCAAAUUAAAUCUUUCUUUCCUAAUCUCUUGUGCACUUUUGUCUCCCAAUCUUUAAUUCUUUUCCUAUUUUUAUUCUUUCAAUGAAAUUUCUUUCCUAAAUGCUCUGAUUUAAUUUCUCUUUAAUCCCAAAAUAUGUCUAAAAUAAUAAAAUAAAAAACUAAGAUAAAAAUUAACACAAUAAAAUAUAAUUUUAACAAAAUAACUAAAUUAAAAAUUAACUGAAAUAACUAGAAUAUUUAAGAUCAAAAUAAGAAAAAGAUGGAGAAAUUAAUAGCAAAAUAUAUGAAAAAUAUGCACUUAUCAGAAGACUAAGAGUGCGUUUGGGAGUGAGGUACUGAAACUUUUAAACUGCAGCUACUGUGAAGUAAAAGCUAUAGAUGUUGAGUAGAAGCUGAUGAUAUUUGAUAAAGAUGCUGUAACUUUUAAGCUGCAGAAGCUGAUAGUGUUUGGUAAAUAUAUGUGUCUAGUAUUUUCAAUUUUAAUUUCACAAUUUUUAUAUAUAUAUAAUUUUAUAAAAAUCUCGGGACCCAUAUUAUUCAGUUAAGACACUGUGAGACAAUUUUGAAUUUAAUAAGAAACAAAUAGUUUUGAAAAUGUUUUUGGUAUUGGAUCCUCCUAAAAAUUUUAUUGGAGAUACCCAUGGAUGUCGAGAAUAGAUCUAUGUAAUUUUGUGUCAUUUUGAUUAUUAGAUUAAGAGUUAAAAUUCAGAGAAUCAGACUUCUACGGGUAUGAAUUAGAAAAUUAAGUUCUUGGAAUAAGUUGUUAAUAGUUAUUUCUUGUAUUUGUUUAAAGUAUUGGAGGUGUUUGAGACUGUUAGAGGCUUAGAGGUGUGUUUAAAUCAUUGCUUUUAUCAAGAUAAGUAACUCUAUUCCUAAUGUACUUGAUAUCUAAUGUACUAGAUAUAUAUGAUAAUUUUGAUAUUUCAAUAUUAUUACAAGUACGUGUGUUUUCUUAGUUCUUCAUAACAAAAAUAAUUGAUGUGAGUGUUUUUAAAUUUGAAAAUUAUGCCAUUUUUAUGGUUUUAACAAAAUAUUAUAAAUGCCUUUAAAUGUGCAAUUUAUUUUGCUAGAUAAUUAUAUUUUUGAAAUUAUCUAUAAAAUGUUAGAAUGGAAAUUGUUCUGCAAGCCUAAAUCAUUGUUAUGAUCAUUUAUGAAUCUAAUAUGAAUAUUAUGUUCACGUAUUCUAUUUAAAUUAUCUAUGAAAAUUUAUGCGGGAGCCACCUUUUGAGACUGUAUGGGGGCCAUAUCUCGAGGACUAAAGUGCCACGUACAUUAUAAAGUACCACGUGUAAUUUGCUACAAAGGAAAAAUAAAUUUAAAUAAUUUGGUUCAUUGUCCAUAGUCAUUUUGAUUCCGUUAUAUACUUACACACACACACAAACACAGAGUAUUGAGUUUCUAUUCAGAUUGUGUCUAUGAUAUUCUGAUUCUCAUUCUAUUCCAGCCUGGUCAUCGAGAGUAUAAGUGACACUAUGUGACAUGAGCUAAUCUUUUGUGUCCUGUAUUUAUAUAUUAUAUGAUUUGUUUCUAUGAUUAAUUAUGAUUUCGAUAUUCUGGAUCAUUUAUGAAUUUGUCCUUAUGUUAUUAUAUCUCAUUGUAAAAUUUAUGUUUUUUUAUUGUGAUAUAUAUAUUGGUAAACAAGGCUUGCAAUACUUUUGGUAUCGGAUAUCCUUGGGGUGUUGGGAAUGGUUUUACUUGCCGAAUUGAUAGCUCACUUCUCUUCAUUACUUUUUGCAGAUUGAGUGACUUGUUGAGAGAUGUGCUUAUCUUUGGAGUUAGAGAUUAAUUUACUUUUGCUAGUUGAAUAAAAGAAGGACGAAUUUCUAUUUCUUUUAAGCUUGUUAGUCUUCUCAACUUGUAAUUGGAGAAUUUUGAAACUUUUGUUACAUUUAUGAUUUGGGAGAGAAAUGUCAAGUAUUUGACUUGUGGAUUUGUUGAUUUGUUUAAUAAAAAUUGAGAUAUUUCAGGUUGAGAUUUUGUGUAAGGAUUUCAAUAUGUAAGUAAUCUCCUACUAUCACAUGCUCCACACGUGUUAAAUUUGGAGUGUUACAACUGUUAAGCUUUGCAUAUCCAAAUUGAUUAAGUUGAAAAUUAGGGUAAGAUGAUAGGAUUCUAGGGUUUUACUUAGAGAAUUCAAGAGAGAAAAGAUGAGGAAUUUAAGAAUUUAGAGGGGAGAGAGAAGAAUUAACAGGGGUUAGAAUUAAUUUUAUUAUUGCUUGCUUAAAAACAUAAUGAGAACCACUUACUUAUAGUGGCUCAACACAUUCCUAAUUCUAAUCUAAUUAGAACCUUAAAUUAUAAUUAUAGUAAGAAAACCUAAUCCUAAUAGGAAAGAAAAAAUAAACCACUUGGGUUCUGUAGAGAUUUGAUUGAACUGCUAAUCUUAUAAAACCAAAACUCUGCCCAUGAUCUUUGACUAAGAUCAACAGAAGUUGCACACAAGCAAUAAAAUUGAACCAGAAUCUAUUCAAUAUCCUCUCAACAGACUUAGCCACUCAAGAACAGAAAUUAAACAACAGAAAAGAAUGAAUCAGAAACAAAAUCACAGAGAGAGCAAGAGAUAACGUGGUCCAAUCUUUUUCAAGACUUGCAUUCCCGAGUGAAAACAUCAGAGAUUGUUUUUUUGAUCGAUUCAACGAAGAAACUACAAGUACUCAGAAUUAAGGAUACAGAGCUUAAGAAUUAGUUUUCUCUCUCCAAGAUUCUCUCUCGAAUACUCUCGAAUCACUCCCGCAAGUGAGGUGCAAAACCAGCUUUAUAUUACAGGGGGAUAACAGAACAAUGAACCCAGAUAGCACAGCCCUCUUCCACGUGCCCAAGACCGUUAAAAGAACAGGGAUGCACUUAAGUGACCACGUGACUUAGCACGCGCAAUUUCUUGAAUCUGUUAUGAGUAAAACGCAAGCUUUAACGUCGUUUACAGUUAGUAAUCACGAGCUCCCUGACGUGACUUCAUAACGGAUUUAACCGAUGGCCCAAUACGCUGCCGUUUGCUCUGGUUUGUGUUUGAAUUCAUUGACUCUACAGGUUCUAAUAGAUUCUUUUGUUUCAAAAUGAAGAUUGAAGAUCAUCCACGGCAGUAGGAGAUUUAAGUUGGAAGAUCAUCCAGAAUUUAUUUCCUUCUUUGCAAGUUGUGUUCUCUCAAGACUCGCAGCUAGAGAUGGCAAAUAUCCAAUUAUGGAUGGAUAAUAUCCAUCCAAAUACAAAUCCAUAAUUAUUCAUGAUGGAUAUAUCUAUAUCCAUAUCCAGUAUUUAAUAUUGGACAUGGAUAUGGAUUUUAUCCAUAAAGAUAUGGAUAUCCAUGAAUAUUUUAUUUUUAUUAUAUAAAAAAUAAUAAUAAAAUAAAAUAAAAAAUAAUAUAAAAUAGUUAAAAACAGUAUUAAAUUCUAAUAUCAAAUAAAAAAUAAUAAACAUAACAAAUAUCAAAACUAUGAAAUAAAAAAAUUAUAAUAUGAAAUUACAAAUUAAUUUCAAAUUAAAUACAAAAAGUUCAUUCUUCUAACGCAUCAUUAAUCUCCAAUCUUCUAACACAUCAUUAAUCUCCAACUAGAUCAUCAUCAUUAAUCUGCAAAUUCAAUCAAAACACAGAUAAUAUUAAAUGCACAAUGAGCCAAAUGAAAAAUGAAAGAAGCUUAAUAGUGUAAGUUCAGCCAGUUGUGACAGUUACCUGCGGAUAUGAUGAGUGCUUGACCAGUAUAAUUCAGGUUUGCCUUUGUCCAAGGAAUUUUUCAAACUGCAACCAACUGAUAACAAAAAGUAAAUGAGAAAAUGACAGAAAAAAGCCAGACCUGCCAUUUGAUGCAUGAAUAGAGCAGAUAUGAACUAAACAGGAAAUUCUGAAACCAUAUAAUUUGCCACCAUGGCCAUAACAAAUGAAAUAUCUUUGGCAGCCGGAUAGAUUUUCAAAUCAAGUGAAACUUAAGAUGAAUAACACAGGACAGAAGAUUAGGUAAUAGAAGACAGGGCCACAGAACAGAACACCAGGGAUCUGUAACAUUGAGGUCCUUUCCUAAAAAUAUACUCUUCAAUUAGGCACAACAAUAAGCAUCAAGCACAUACCAAAAAAAGAAAAAUAAACACUAUUCAGAACAUGGUUGGGUCUCCUCUUCAUCAUCAUUAUCAGUCACUUCUCCAUUUAUUUCUUCCCCAUUCAUCACUUUAUCUUUAGGAAUCUCACCUAAUUUAAAAAAAAAAAAACUUGUAAAAUAUAAAAAAAAAAACAAAUACUAUCAAAAUCAAAUAAGUGCAUAAGUGAGCUGAAUUUGAUACCUUUUAAUUGAGCCCAUAUCCAAUUCUGAGUACACAUUAAGGCCUCUACUGUACUCGGAUGAAGUCUACUACGAUGUGGGCUUUAUCAAAUGCAUCUUUUUUCUUGUAGACCUUAGAUGCUUGACUAGGGCUAGAAGCUGGAGCUGGAGCUGAUUCUUGUAUCUGUUUGGGACACCUAUCAAUAUGGUUUAACAAAUGUGAAGUUCCACUUGAUUGCUGUCCAGCAAAACCUUUGCCACAAUGAUUACACACUGCCUUCAUUUCUCCAUUAAUUGUUCUCCUUGUGAAAUGGUCCCAAGCUCUAGAUGCUUGUCUCAAUGAGCUUCUAGGUUGUCCUUCCGAGUCUCGUUUUGUACCUCCACUAAUUGAAUGAGUUUGUGGAUUUUCAGCAUUAACAUUACUUGAGGCUUGAGGGUUUAAUUGAACAGCAGGAUCAGAAUCAAAAUCAGACAUAAUUAACCUGAAAAAAGACAUUACAGAGCAAUUAUUAACAAUCCCUAAACUUCCAGAACUAGCUAGCUCGUUUGUUUGGAAGUAGUAGUAGUGCUUAACAUGAACCAUAUAGAGAUCAAUUAGAUGAUAAUCUAACUUCCAGCAUCCGUCAAUAUUUUAUUUCACAAUGGGAGGGCCACAUUUCCACAAAUGGCAACACCCAAUAGCAAAUGGAGCCUCAACUGAUUUCGGCCUCUAGAAGCUGAAAAAGUUUUGUUGGAAAAUUCGACUAUCAGAUUUCAAAUGAUUAUGUGAAAGGCCAUAUAUUAUAUAUACUAGCAGAUUCUUUGAAGAAAGUAACCACUGCAUAUUGAAACUCUUCCAAUUCCUCUCUCUCUCUCUCUCUCUCUGUACACACACACACACACACACACACAGAGCCAUGUAAACAAAAAUAAGAAAAAUAAUGGAAGCCAUAAAGGCAUAAGAUUUUAGGCUUGUAAAAGCUUAUUUCAUGUUUAAUCAUGGAGCCAAAUUCAUAAACUAAAUUAAACCCCAUCCAGCAAUUAAUCAAAAUCUAGAUUUGUGACUGACAAAAGGUGAAGAAAAUAUUUGCAUAAUUUUAGUAAAAUCACCAGAAAUACGGUGAAAAUGCUGGGUACUGUGAAGAUCAAUCAAAGCCAAAUAUAUAUUAAACGGCUUAUAAGCUUCAGCAAUCAAAACUUACCUUGCGCGGGAGACAACGAACAGGCGGACGGACGACGGUGGUGGCAGCGACGACAGAGACGAUGGUAGCUGGAACGAGGCAGAAAAACGCUCAAGAACAGCUGGAAGCUGCAGUUACGGCUGAUCAACCAUUGGUACAGCGCCGGCACACCUAAACGGAACCCCCGGAAAGCGGCGUCGGAGUCGGGGAAGAGCGUCGGUAAGCAAAGACCGGCCGGCGAGCGAUGUGAUAAUCUUAGGUUUUGCUAUCCAGACAUUUGUUUUUGCUUAUUUCAUUUUAGUUUUACGAUUUUAAUUUUUUAAUUUCAAAUAAGAUAUUAAUUGGAUAUUGGGUAUCCAUUGGAUAUCCAUACCCAUCCAAUUUUUAUUUGGAUAUUUUUUUAAAAUAUCCAUAUUCAUAUCCAAAAAAUUUUGGAUGGAUAUUAUCCAAUCCAAUUGGAUUGGAUGUAUGGAUAUCCAAUUUAAAUGGACCAAAUUGCCAUCCCUACUCGCAGCUCCGCCAAAUUCUGGCGUGAAGGCUUAUCACCUUCCUCUUUAAUGCAGCUUUGCAGCCCACAUCAGUCGCCAGUUGGAGUCAAAUUAAUGAAAAAUUUAGGGUCGUGUAAUUGGUCUCAUGCAUCCACAAAUUUGAUAAAUUUUAACUCACAAUGGGUAUAAACUUAUGGUGAUUUAAUAAGAAUGCAGUGAAGAAUUAAGAGAUAUUCAAGUGCCUGCAAUUGUGUUGGUUUCCCAAAUCCCAACCAAUCCAACAUUUCAGGAUAAGGCUUUUUGUUUAAAUUAAUAGCACAACGUUCCAGAGGGAUAAUCCAAAUUCUUGUUGCGUUCUCUCAACUCUCAAUUCUCAUGAUAUUAGUUAAAGCUUCGUAAAGAACAUUUCGCAGCCUUAGAUGGAGGAAUCUGAAGCAGAGAUGGCGUCAUUGCCCAAAGAUUAAGGCUUUGAAUUAACUCUUUCCUGGCAUGUUUCUUUGAUUCAUGAGGAUUUACAUUUUCUUUUCUUUUUUUCACAAUACAUUAAUUAAAAAUUAUACAAGUGGAAGAAGGAAGCAAGUAAAGUAAAUCAAACAUUGAACAUGACAAGGCACAAGAAGCAAGCGAGUCUCAGGUAUCAAGCUUUCCUAGGCGACAACCAAGUUCAACAAAGCAAAGGUGAAGCAAGGCAAACAAGAAUUCAAGCCGCACGUCAUAGAUCACGAAAGUGAAGACUCACCAAGCUUCAACACAGUGAACAAAUCAAGGCUGCUUAUUCUGUAUUUGAUGGCUCUCUCUGUGAUUUUUUUAUUCUGCUUUCAUUUAAUUAUUUUGUUAAUUCCUUUGUUUCUUGAUUAAAUAUCAAACAGUUAAGUGAGGUCCUGGAGGAUCAUGAUCGGUCAUCUAACACUCUCAAACACGAGUUCUUGAUCUAACUUCCACAAACCUGCGAAGUAUUUUGACUUUAGUUGGCAAAUGAAAACAAGGGUUUUAACAUCAAAGGAAAUGGUACCAAGGAAGAUGGCCAAUUCGGGAAUUAAGAUCACAAAGGAAGCAGAGGAGCUCUGUCGUUGGUCCCUGCAGUAUGCAAGUGAUUUUGAUCCUAAUCUCUCAACUUCACAUCUAUUAUUGCUGGCCUAUCUUCUUCCGACACAGAGAGACAUUUCAAGGCAAGUUCUACAAGAAUUUGCAAUUGCUUCGAUUUUCCUUGACCCGGUUGAAUUCCAACGACAAUGGGGUCUAUUAUCUCAACAAACCUAUUAUUAUCAAUAUGUUUCUUGACCCAAUCCUUAAAUAAAGUUUCAUCAAGACAACAUUGAAAAUCAUAUAUCUUCUUGCCAGUCAAAAGCUCAAGCAGCAAGGCAGCAAAGCUAUUAUUUUUCUCUGAAUGCUCCAUGAGAAUGGUAUUUAUGUUAUGAUUCAACCUAAACCUGAUAAGAUAUUGUCUGUUUUAAGCCUUAACAAGGCCACAUGGUUUUGUUUCAAGGACACCAAUACAUCCCGAAACUCAUCUUAUCAAUAAAAGUGUGGAUUACCUCUUAUAAACUCAACAUCUCUCUUGUACUUCGUCAAUGUGAGAUUUGCCUAGGCUGUUACAAUUUAAGUGCCAUAAAUCCAAAUUUGGCGAUUGUGUGAAGUACUCUUAUGCGUAUUUUAACAUCAGAAACAAAAAUUGGUGACAAGGAGGUAUUACAUGCGUUAUCAUUAAAUUAAUAUACGCACUAAUCUCAAAGUAUGUGUUAUAUACAUGUUCUUAAUGUGGCUCACAUUCAUGAGUUUGAGAUGAAUUAAGACUCAUGAGUUUGAGAUGAAUUAAGACUACUCACAUUUUUUUGAUUAGAUAAUGAUAAAGAGUAGUUGCUCCAUAUUUCUAAAAAAUUAAGAUGAGGAUAAUUUCUCAUUUUCUUGAUGGAGGGUGUUGAUGCGAGAUUCCGGUUCUCCUCGUUCUACGACCAGGAUCUCUGCUCGAUCAACUUCACCACGACCAGAAGGUCUCCCAGUAAUGCUUCCUCUCCAGAUGUCCCUGCACAAACAGACAAGUCAGAGUACGCCGGUUGUUCUCCCGGCGCAAACCCUCCGACGCUCAAGUCAGAUAUCAAGGUUCAGGGAACGCUUGCCACAGGUCUUAUGGCUUUUUCGUGGUUUUUCUCUUUAAUCUAAAAAAUGCCAACCUUUUUACCUUCGUUGGCUACCUUUUUAUAGGCUUCCUCUGAAUCUCAGUCUUCCGCUCUUUUCGAGACGGUAUGGGACUCUAACUGCUGCGUUAUGGGCAAACGUGGGGUCUAGCGUGUUACGCCACGGUUCAGGGGAAAGCGUGGCUGUCAUGGCUCUGUGGGACCUUGCGUGUUACGCCACGGUUCUGGGGAAAGCGUGGCUGUCAUGGUUCUGUGAGAUCUUGCGUGUUACGCCACGGUUCUGGGGAAAGCGUGGCUGUUGUGCCUAGAUUUUCGUGCUGGAGAGCAUGUCUUGCCAACUGCCGUCGACCGGGUCUCCUCGCCUCUCGACCUCUAGCCGGAAUGGCCUUAUGCCUCUUAUAGGAAAUUAGCCUCACGGAUGACAACAUCGUGGACGAGCAGGAUAUUUCUGCUCCUGUUCUUCCGCGCACCAGGCUUUUACGGAACACACCGGUUCGCAGAACUCCGCCAUCAGAUAUCUGCUCGUCAUUCCUGGUCUCGUCAACGUAUUUAUCCCAAACAGUAUCUCUCCCAAACACCGGUCCCCCAGUUUCUGGUGUUGGGUAAUAUAGUGGACCAGCAGUAGAAACUCGAUAGUACUCGCUCGCGUGGGAUUGGAAAAGGCUGCCAAGAGUCAUGUCGCAUUUAAUUGCGGACGAGGUGACGUGGCAGAAAUCCCCCCCUCCAUUUGAAUUUCAAACCGACGGUCAUGAGAUCCUCGGGAUUCGGCGCAGUUAUAUGCUGGCGACCCAAGAGUCCGUCCUCAUUUGGAAAGCCAAAUUCUCUCGAACGGCAUAUUCACCACUCACUCCGUCUCCGUCUCUGUUUCUCCGGCAAAGAAGUUCCGGCACAAAGCCCCCCAUCCUUGCCUUUCUCCGAUUGGAGCAGUACUUCAGGUAUUACUUCUCUCUCCUCGGUCUCGGAUAGUUUGUAGAUAACUUCUUUUUCUUUCGUUUGGGUAGUAGUUAGUGGCGUUGUGGUUAGAGUUUAGGGAAUGUCGAAAGGCAAAGAGAAGGUUAUUGUGGUUGAUGACGACGAGUUGGACUUCUUGCCUAGUCUGCUCACCGAUCCUGCCUUUGACCCCGAGGUCCCCUUAGAGCCUAUUAGGUCUAGUGUCAGGACUAGUGCUAGGAGGAUGUCUCCCCAAACGACCUCUACGAGCGGAAGUAAUGGCGAGGAGAGAUCUUCUGACUCCGAGGACACUUUGAGUGAGGGUCGAGGAGAUGAUUCUGGUGAGGCGUCCCCAUCAGGAGCGCCGCGACCGGAAGGGAGGAGUAGAAUAGGAGGUAGAGCCCUAUCGCGGGAUUACGCUAUUGAUUACAUGACGUGCACGACCACGUUUGAUGAGCUCGAGGACCUCCGGCUGAGGUAUAGCAUUCCUGGUGAAAUACUUCUCAAGGUCCCAGGAAAGAAGGAUGCUCCCAGCCGCCCUCCUAGGGGAUAUGUUACCCUGUAUCUGGACAGCUUUAAGUACGGGCUGAGGUGUCCCUUGCAACCUUACUUUGCCCGGAUACUUAACGGGCUAAAUCUAGCUCCUGGUCAGCUGAAUCCCAAUGGGUGGAAAGUGCUCUCUGGUCUGUUCAUUUUGUGGGACAGAUGUUGCCAAAGCGAGCCCACGGUUGAUGAGGUGAAGCACCUGUACCAGCUAAAGAGCAGCCCCAAAGAUGCCGGCUGGUACUACUUCCAAUCUAGCACCAAGAGCAGGAAACCUAUAACCGACCUCCCUACUGGUGGUGGCGGGAAUUGGAAGAGAAAGUUCUUUUUUGCUGGGGGUCCUUGGGGUCAGGUCGCACAAGUGGACGGGAAGGAUUAUCGGGUCCCACCCCGUUUCACGGUCCCAGGUUGCCUGCUCGCUUCAGAUGCCUUGUAUCCAUACUUGUUCUUGUUUUAUUGGCUUGUUUCUAACCAAGUGUCUUGUUUGUGUUGUAGUUUCUUGGGGUGUUCACUUCCCGCUCGAACCUGACCAGCUCAAACGGGUCGAGGCGGUACUGGCCAAUUCCUGCUCGAGCCGAGAACUGUUAAGUACAUACAACUUGCUCGAGUCUCGCUUGAUACUUCCUGGCCAUAGGAUGGAGGACGCUGUGAUUGGGGCUUUGACCCGAAAACGUUCUCGACCUCCAACCACGAAGAGGGACGAGAGUAAGGAUGCCCCUACUGCAAAGCGGGCCAACAUCGUGCAGCAGGCCCCACCCUUGAAGAUUUUACCUCCUGCUCCUGUAAAAGUUGGGGAACCUAGUGGAGCAGCCACAGAUCCCGCUACCUCUUCUCCUCCUGUCGGGCCUCGGUCUCGCUUACCUGACAGCCGAGCAGAACAUCUGGUCCCUUACCUCAAUGAGUUAGUUAAACUGGUGAGCAAGGAGGAGCUGGAGGACUUUGAUGGCCGCACCUUGGGUGAGCUGGUGGGGGCCAUUCAGCAUAGCGCCUUCCACCUCAGCUGCAUGACCACCUACUACAAGGCUAAGGUGGGCCGCUACGACCGGAAGAUGAAGGGGGAUAUUCAGUCGGCGACGACCAGAGCUGACGUUGCCGAGAAGAAAGCAGGGGAGCUGAAUCUCGAGAACCUGAAGCUGAUAGAGCAAGAAUCACUUGCUCAGGCAAAAGCCAUUACCCUCGAGGAGGAGCUUACCAAGGUCAAGGAGGAUCUGCAAAGGCAGAAGGCAAUGUAUGAGGCUCAGCUCGAAUCUCUCCGCGACUCCCACCGAGCUCAGGUCGAGAACUUGGAGAGGGAGGCCGACAACCAGUACGACCAGGGACUUCGGCAUUCCUAUCGUUGCAUCAUGGCCGUCCUCGGGAAGCAACACCCUGACCUGAAGAUGGAUGACCUUGCAGCUGGUGUUGCUCAGCAUAUGGAUGAGGAGGCGGCCAAGGAAGAUGCCGAGGGGGUAGAGCCGAUCGCGAUCGAGGAGGAAAGUUCUCCUCGUGCAGUCCCUGCUGAUGUUGGCGAGGCGAGCACCCCCCCGGACGCAACUGGUGAUACCCCCCCUGCACCCGAGGAGGUCCAGCCAACCGAUGCUGCUCGGCUCACUGAUCCACCAUCUUUUUGAUGUAUUUCUUUUUGUGUUGUAAUGAACAACGUUUAUGAAAUUUAUCCCCUCUGUUAGCCAUUAACACAUUAAUAAAAAUGUUGUUGUUGAUUACUUUCUUGUGUUGUAAUUACGAAUUAUUUUUCGUCUGAAACCCUGCUCGCUUUUGUCUGAUUGAGCAGGAUCUGGCUUGGCGUAUGGUUUUGCCUAUUCUUAAAAUUUUUUUUUUUUUUUUUUUGCUUGGGGGGAUCUGCUCGUCUUCGCGUGGUCGAGCGGGUCCUGGCACGCUUGGCUUCAGUCUUGCCAUAAACAGGCUUUGACUUGGUGAGGCCUUUGCGGGCCUUAGAAAACUUUUCCGAAUACUUUGGAGUCUGCUCGUCUUCUCAUGAUCGAGCUGAUCCUGGCAUGUUUGGCUUUUGUCUCGCCAUAAAACAGGCUUUGAGACUUGACGAGCCUUUGCGUGCCUUUGGAAUUUCUUCAAACGAUUUGGAUUCUGCUGCCUUCUCGUGGCCGAGCAGAUCCUGGCAUGCUUGGCUCCUGUCUCGCCAUAAGACAGGCUCUGAGACUUGGCGAGCCUUUGCAUGCCUUAGGAAUUUCUUCAAACGAUUUGGAUUCUGCUGCCUUCUCGUGGCCGAGCAGAUCCUGGCAUGCUUGGCUUCUGUCUCGCCAUAAGACAGGCUCUGAGACUUGACGAGCCUUUGCAUGCCUUAGGAAUUUCUUCAAACGAUUUGGAUUCUGCUGCCUUCUCGUGGCCGAGCAGAUCCUGGCAUGCUUGGCUUCUGUCUCGCCAUAAGACAGGCUCUGAGACUUGGCGAGCCUUUGCAUGCCUUAGGAAUUUCUUCAAACGAUUUGGAUUCUGCUGCCUUCUCGUGGCCGAGCAGAUCCUGGCAUGCUUGGCUUCUGUCUCGCCAUAAGACAGGCUCUGAGACUUGACGAGCCUUUGCAUGCCUUUGGAAUUUCUUCAAACGAUUUGGAUUCUGCUGCCUUCUCGUAGCCGAGCAGAUCCUGGCAUGCUUGGCUUCUGUCUCGCCAUAAGACAGGCUCUGAGACUUGACGAGCCUUUGCAUGCCUUUGGAAUUUCUUCAAACGAUUUGGAUUCUGCUGCCUUCUCGUGGCCGAGCAGAUCCUGGCAUGCUUGGCUUCUGUCUCGCCAUAAGACAGGCUCUGAGACUUGACGAGCCUUUGCAUGCCUUUGGAAUUUCUUCAAACGAUUUGGAUUCUGUUGCCUUCUCGUGGCCGAGUAGAUCCUGGCAUGCUUGGCUUCUGUCUCGCCAUAAGACAGGCUCUGAGACUUGACGAGCCUUUGCAUGCCUUAGGAAUUUCUUCAAACGAUUUGGAUUUUGCUGCCUUCUCGUGGCCGAGCAGAUCCUGGCAUGCUUGGCUUCUGUCUCGCCAUAAGACAGGCUCUGAGACUUGACGAGCCUUUGCAUGCCUUAGGAAUUUUUUCGGUUUCAAGCGAAUGAAAUUCGUUGACGUUCCAUUAAUGGCAGGAUCUGACUUACAUGAAAUUGUUCGGACAUAAAGCGUGAAAAAUAAACGAUAAUAAACAUGAGCAAAAAUAGCUUUCAAAUGUGAACAAGUCUUACUGGAAGUAUUUCCGGAGGUGUGCUGCGUUCCAUGGGCGUUUCACUUCGUGGCCAUCCGCGCGAACCAGCUUGUAAGCUCCGGACCCCGCUAUCUGCUUGACUCUAUACGGCCCUUCCCAAUUCGGUCCCAGCACUCCUUGAGUCGAGUCUUUGGUGCUCUGAUUCACUCUUCUCAGUACCCAGUCUCCGACCUUGAAUUGCCGUAUGUUCACCUUCUGGUUAUAAUACCGAGCAACCCUCUGUUGGUAAGUGACUGAUUGCUCGGCUGCUUGCUCCCUCCUUUCCGUUAGCAGGUCAAGAUUCAAACAUAUCUGCUCGUCGUUAUCGCGCUCGUUGAAAUGAUCUGUCCGGUGUGUGGUCGUUCCUAUCUCAGCCGGCACGACCGCUUCAUGUCCGAAAGCCAAAGCGAACGGUGUCUCCCCAGUUGCGGUUUUGUGGGUCGUUCUGUAUGCCCAUAACACACCUGACAGCUCGUCAACCCAAGCACCCUUUUUUGCUCCGAGUCUGGUUUUCAGAAGCCUCUUGAUGGUCUUGUUGGCUGCUUCUACUUGUCCAUUCGAUUGAGGGUGAGCAGGCGAGCAAUACUUCAGCUCUAUCCCGAGGUUCUGGCAGAAAUCCCUGAAGCUGUGAUUAUCGAACUGCCUGCCAUUAUCCGUUACCAAGGCAUAUGGGAUCCCGUACCGACAGACCAGGUUUCUCCACACGAAGUCUGUUGUUUUCUUCUCUGUGAUCCUGCUAAGGGCUUCUACCUCUAUCCACUUUGUGAAGUAAUCUAUAGCAACUAUUGCAUGUGUUGCUGCUCCUCGUCCCUUUGGCAAUGGGCCGAUCAAAUCAAUUCCCCAUUGAGCGAAUGGCCAAGGGGAGGCCAUGGAGGUAAGCUUCUCUGGUGGUUGGUUAGAGAAAUUUGCAAAACUCUGGCAGCUUGCACAGCUCCUGGUCUUCCUCUGCGCAUCCUGGUGCAUCGUCGGCCAGAAAUAUCCCUGCCUUAGAACCUUGUGGGCCAGGGACCUCCCGCCAGAAUGAUUUCCGCAAAUUCCUUCAUGUACUUCCCUCAGCACGUAAUCCGCGUCGUCAUCGUCCAAACACCGAAGGAACGGUAAUGUAUAUCCUCGCCGAUACAGUACCCCAUCGAUCAUCGUGUAUCUCGAGGCCUGAGCUCUAAUCUUCCGAGCUCGCAGCUUAUCUGGUGGUAAGACCCCGUCUCUAAGGUAUGAAACUAUCGGGUCCCUCCACGAGCCUUUUUGUUCUAUCCGCAACACCCCCAAAUUCUGCUCGAUACUUGGGCUGGACUUCACCUCCAGAGGGACAGACUUUGGCAUUUUCGGGUCGGCUACUGCUGCCAUCCUAGCCAAAAUGUCUGCUCGACUAUUCUGCUCCCUGGGGAUUUGUAUCACCUCAACUGCUUCGAACUUCCCCAUCAUCUGUCUGACUAUCUUCAGGUACUGCUCCAUCUUCUCCUCUCUUGGUUGGAAUCUUUCACUGACAUGAUUCGCAACCAGCUGGGAAUCCGUUCGGAUCCUAACUCUGUCUGCUUUUACGGCCUUAGCCAAUUCCAGACCUGCUAUCAAGGCUUCAUACUCUGCUUGGUUAUUGGUGGCUGCAAAUUCCAAUUUUAUAGCAUAAGAGAUCUCCUCCCCCUCUAGGCCUUCCAAGACAAUCCCUGCUCCUGAACCCCGCUCCCCUGAUGACCCAUCCACGGAUAUCUGCCAUACUUGAGUUUCGUCGUUGCCUAUAACUGCAUCUUGUUGAUCUAAGCAUACUUCGGGCUCUGCGAACUCAGCUACGAAAUCGGCCAUUGCCUGGGCCUUUAUCGCUGCGCGGGGUUUAUAGUCUAUAUCGAACUCGCUCAGCUCUACAGCCCACUUGACGAGCCGACCAGAGGCAUCUGGCUUGUGCAGAAUUUGACGCAAUGGCUGGUUGGUUAUUACCGAGACCGGGAAUGCUUGAAAGUAUGGCCUCAACUUCCGAGCAGCAACCACAAGGGCGAGUGCCCAUUUCUCCAACGGUGGGUAUCUGGUCUCAGUGUCGAGCAGGGCCUUGCUGGUGUAGUAUAUCGGAUACUGAACUCCUUCUUCCUCUCUCACCAGAACGGAACUGGCGGCCCGAUCCGAUACCGCCAAAUACAGAUUCAACUUGUCCCCUUCCCUCGGUGUGGACAGUAGCGGAGCCUGCUGCAAGUAUUGCUUCAAGUUCCGGAAGGCUUCCUCGCAUUCUGGGGUCCAUUCCGUUUUCUUUCCCCUCCUUAUCACUUGGAAGAAUGGCUGACACUUAUCUGUAGCCUUGGAUAUGAAUCUGCUCAACGCCGCCAACCUCCCCGUGAGGCUCUGCAUCUCCUUCAGGUUUCGAGGAGACGUCAUUUGCACAAUCGCCUGGAUCUUCUCGGGAUUUGCUUCAAUCCCCCUAUGGCUCACCAUGAAUCCCAGGAAUUUCCCUGACUCGACCCCAAAAGCAUACUUCUCCGGGUUGAGCUUCAUCUUAUACUUCCUCAAAAGCUCGAACGUCUCCUCGAGAUGUCUGACAUGUUCCUUCGGGAUUUUGGACUUGGUGAUCAUGUCGUCCACGUACACCUCCAUGGUUUUCCCGAUCAAGGGCUUAAAGACUUUAUUCACCAGCCUUUGAUAAGUGGCCCCAGCAUUCUUGAGACCGAAUGGCAUCACCCUGUAACAGAACAAACCUUGGUUAGUGAUGAAAGCCGUGCUCUCCUCAUCCGGCUCGUACAUGGGGAUCUGGUUGUAUCCCGAGAAUGCGUCCAUGAAGCUAAGCAGACCAUGUCCAGCCGUUGAAUCUACUAGCUGAUCGAUCUUUGGUAAAGGGAAGCUGUCUUUUAGGCACGCCUUAUUGAGGUCCGUGAAAUCCACACACAUCCUCCACUUGCCGUUUGCCUUCUUUACCAACACCACAUUUGAUAUCCACUCUGGGUAAUUGACUUCCCGAAUGGACCCUACUCUCAGAAGCUUCUCCACCUCAUCAUUUACAGCCUCAUACCUCUCCUGGUUGAAGCACCUCCUCUUCUGCCUUACUGCCCGAGCACCUUUCUUUAUUGCCAGCUUAUGACAUGCUACCUCUAGGUCAAUCCCUGGCAUGUCUUCAUGUGUCCAGACAAACACGUCAGCAUGAGCCUGUAAGCAUUUCACCAACUCCUGCUUUUGCUCUCCCUUAAGUCUCGACCCGAUUCUGAUCGUCUUUCCCGGGUUCUCUGGUCCCAUGCUUACUGUUUCCAGAUCCUCUACGGGUUCUUGUCUGCCAGUCUUGUUUUCUACUCGGGUAUCGAGGGAUGUUAUCUGCAUUGCCUCCCUUGCUGCCGAGGAGUAGCAGCUUCUUGCGAUCCUCUGGUCUCCUCGUACCACUCCGACUACCCCAUUCACCCGAUAGUUCAGAGCCAGAUAGUGGUUGGACAACACCGCUUUGCUCAUCCUUAAAAAUGGCCGACCUAGGAUCAUUUGGUAAGGACCUUCCUCAUCCACUACGACGAAGUCCAGUAUCAUUGUUCUUUCUGUCGGGGGGCUCCCAAUUGUGAUAGGCAGUUCGACCACGCCCAGAGGGACCAGCUUCCCUCCUCCGAACCCCUUCAAGGAGGUGUUGGUGUAUUCCAGCUUCCGGUCGGCUAUUCCCAUCUCUUCCAGGGUUGACUUAAAUAACACAUCAACUGAGCUCCCUGUAUCAAUCAGUAUCCGGUCAAACUUCUUGCUAGCGAUAGUAGCCUUGAUGACUAAGGCAUCCUCGUGGGGGUAUAGAAUCCCUUCCUCAUCCUGCUCCGUCCACAUGAUUGGCACUUGCCUGACCCUUGCUCGUUUAGCUGCUGGGGUGUUGAGGAGUACCUCUUUGCUGGUCAUGGCGUACCUAGCAUAAUUCUUCCUCGAUCUGUUCGAAUCUCCGGCCAACGUUGGGCCCCCAGCUAUCACCCUUACUGCGGGCUGCUCGCGUCUCAUGGUUCUAUCACUCUGCUCCCCUUCAUCUGUUGUGGCCACCAUCGGAAAAGUCCCAUCCAUAAACUCGUCCAGGUACCGAUUUCUCACCAGAUCUUCGACCUGGGUCUUGAGAUCUCUACACUCUGCUGUGGUAUGGCCAUGGGUGCCAUGGAACUUACAAUAACGUCCUCUAUCCCUUCUGUUGGGCAGCUUUGUUAUUGGUGUAGGGAGGUGCAGCAGCCCUCGAUCCUUUAUGGCCUCGUACACCUCAUCCAGGGGCAUCCUCAGGGGAGUGUACCGCCCAUAGUCCUGGUUCUGGUCGACCAGAUGCACUGCUCUUUCUCUGUUUGCCCCACUGUGAGUUGGGGGCGGUGGAAGUGCUUCUGGUCUGCUCGCCCUGUUACCGUGGGAAUGUUGAUGAAGACCACCGGAUGCCGAAUCAUGCCUUCUCCAAGGCUCCCUAGCUGGGGAACGAGGAGGUGGCGCCUUGCUGCGCUGAUACUGUGGCGGCCUCUGAUGAGGCUGGUAAGCAAUCACCCUACCUCCUGAUCCAUUACCGGAGACUUGGUGGUCCCUCCUCCUGACCGGCCCAUUCCCUAGUAAUGCUUUCUUCUCUUUCCUCCCUAAUCCUUCCAACUGGUCUGUCUUGAUCCGUGCAGCCUUCUCCUCCUCAAUCUCGAUGUCUCUUUUAGCCUGUUCGUAUGCGGCUGCAUACGUUUGAAUAGCUGGGCUUCUCAAAUUGUACCACAGCCUUCCUAUCUUCACCCCUUCUUUCAAUCCCCUUAACGCCUGAGGGUGGUUGAAGGCUCCCAAGUCGAGGACAGCCCGAUGAAACCUCUUGAUGAAUUCCCAAAGGGUUUCUUGCUCCCCCUGUUUCAUGCUUUUCAGCUCCAUCAUGUCAUCUUCCGGUGACAUUGCCCCACUAAACUGCUCUGCGAAUUCCUGGCACAUCUGCUCGAAGGUUUUAAUGCUGCCCCGAGGAAGUUUCCUGUACCAUUCUCGUGCACGUCCCUCAAGGGAUAGUGGGAACACCCUGCACCUUUGGGAUGGAGAUAAUCCCUGUACCCCCGUCAUGUCGUUGAAGCGCUCUAUGUGCAUCAGCGGGUCAGUUCUUCCCGAGUAUCUGAGGUCGGGGAGGCGAAAAUCUCUCGGAAUAACUGCCCUCAUGAUCUCUGCUGCGAGCGGUGAUUCUCCGUCCAGCAUUAUCCUCCAACCAGGGGCUCUGUUCCUCCCUUGCAUGUCGUCAAUUAUUUGCGCUAGCCUUCGCACUUCCUCCUCCAGCUGCCCUGCACGACCAGGGUCACGUGCUGCAACUUGAUCCCGCUCUCGCUCUACAUCAUGCAAGUGUUGCCUUAGCUCUGUUUCCUCUGCAUUCACCACCCCGUCGCCCUCGUCACAAGUCUGUCUUGCCGGGGACUGCUCUCUUUCUCUAUGAAAUUCACCCCGCAGGGGUACGUUACCUCUCUCACCACCAAAUCUCCCUGCGGUUUGACUUCUCCCCGCACUAUCGGGACCUGGUGCCGCUCCACCGCCUCUAACCCUUCCCUUUUGGGUUACCCUUCGCUCGUUCCGCAGCUCAUGCAGGAUGGUUGUGAAGGUCUCCAUCUGCUUUUCCAUUCGUUCCAUCCGGUCGAACAUGACUUUUUCCCGUGCUUCGCUGAUUACCUCCCUCAGCGUCACGGAAUCGUUAAGCCUCAUGUCACCCCCUUGUGCGCUACUUCCUCCUAUCUCCAUUGCUUUUCGCUUACUCCACCCCUCUUCUUGCUAUCGACAGAAGCUUUUUGCUCUGAUUUCCCACAGACGGCGCCAAAAUGUUGAUGCGAGAUUCCGGUUCUCCUCGUUCUACGACCAGGAUCUCUGCUCGAUCAACUUCACCACGACCAGAAGGUCUCCCAGUAAUGCUUCCUCUCCAGAUGUCCCUGCACAAACAGACAAGUCAGAGUACGCCGGUUGUUCUCCCGGCGCAAACCCUCCGACGCUCAAGUCAGAUAUCAAGGUUCAGGGAACGCUUGCCACAGGUCUUAUGGCUUUUUCGUGGUUUUUCUCUUUAAUCUCAAAAAUGCCAACCUUUUUACCUUCGUUGGCUACCUUUUUAUAGGCUUCCUCUGAAUCUCAGUCUUCCGCUCUUUUCGAGACGGUAUGGGACUCUAACUGCUGCGUUAUGGGCAAACGUGGGGUCUAGCGUGUUACGCCACGGUUCAGGGGAAAGCGUGGCUGUCAUGGCUCUGUGGGACCUUGCGUGUUACGCCACGGUUCUGGGGAAAGCGUGGCUGUCAUGGUUCUGUGAGAUCUUGCGUGUUACGCCACGGUUCUGGGGAAAGCGUGGCUGUUGUGCCUAGAUUUUCGUGCUGGAGAGCAUGUCUUGCCAACUGCCGUCGACCGGGUCUCCUCGCCUCUCGACCUCUAGCCGGAAUGGCCUUAUGCCUCUUAUAGGAAAUUAGCCUCACGGAUGACAACAUCGUGGACGAGCAGGAUAUUUCUGCUCCUGUUCUUCCGCGCACCAGGCUUUUACGGAACACACCGGUUCGCAGAACUCCGCCAUCAGAUAUCUGCUCGUCAUUCCUGGUCUCGUCAACGUAUUUAUCCCAAACAGUAUCUCUCCCAAACAGAGGGAAGUGAAUGAAGUCCAUUAAAUAGACUAAGGGUCCUUAGCCUAACCUAGAUACGACUUUCCAUGAGAAUUACCAAUUGAAUUAAAGGCUAUAUAGAGGAAUAGACUAGAAAAUUCUAACCAUUUUUUAAAUUAACUUAAAUAAUAAUGACUGGAGGUAGAGGUACGUAAUUUAUUUAAGUUUAUAAUCUAAACUAUAUUUGGAAAAAUACUCUUUUCAUCUCUAAGGUUUGAUGCAAUAGCCUGUUUCAUCCUUACUAUUUAAAUAAUAUCCUAUUUCAUUCCUAUUUUUUAAGCAAUAGCCUGAAACACCCUUUCAUUAGCUUAUUCUUAACUUAACUUCAACAUGGUCGAAAUAAAUAAAUAAAUGAUCAAUUAGUAUUGUUAUUCUACCAAACGUAAUUACAGACUCCUUUGUUUACUUAAAAAAAAUACACACUAAAUACAUAACAAAAUACAUUUAAAAAUAUUGCAGAAUAAAAUAUAUAAUGCAUUGGAAUUUUUUUUUUAUCUUUUAGCUUAUUCUUGACCUUAAUAAAAACAAUGAUUCUUGAUGAAAAUUAUUAUUAUUAUUAUUAUUAUUAUUUUGUUGACUUUUAUUAAAAAAAAGAAUUUAAUGAACACACAUAUAUGUGUGUGUGUGUGUGUGUGUUGCAUAUUCUUUAGUUUCAUUAAGUUAUACUUAAAUUUUAAAUUUUAAAUUUAUGCAAAAAAAAGUCAAAUGUUAUUCAAUUAUUCUUGAGAUAUUUAUUUUAAAAAGCUUUAUAUAUUUAUUUAACUAAAAAUCCUAUUUUGCUCUCAAUGAAUUAUAGAGUAAACUAUUAUAAAUUCACGGAAGGGUAUUUUGAGCUAUUAUUUGAAAAAUAAGGAUGAAACGAGUUAUUUUUUAAAAAAUAAGGAUGAAAUGGGCUAUUGUACUAAACCCUAUAAAUGAAAAGAGCCUUUUCCCAAUAUAUUUCUAUAUAUAUUAUUAAUAUUAUUAUUAAGCUAACACAAGGAUGAUGUAAAGCAUAUGUACGUGCCUCUAGACAGCAAAUUCAGAGAAGCAUUAUUGCAAAGUCAACAGUUAACCGUUCAAAGUCAGCGGGACAAUUACGUUUGGCCCUUGCUUGGAAAUUUCUAAUUUCAAUGGCAACAAAGUCAGGGGAAAAUUAAUUGUUCAAAAUCAAUAUACAAACAUGGUGGCCCUUGCUAAGAAGAUAACAUGCACGAUAAGGAUAAACAAUUACCCUAAUCUUUCUUUUGUGGACGUGUUAAUAAAAUAAAGACAGAUUGUGAAAGAGGACGUAUCUACAGAUGGCCGAUUCAGAACUUAAUUAAGAUCAUUCGUUAUAUUUAUUUUUAAUUGAGACAGAGCCUCUCAUGUUGGCGUUAAUAUGUUAGAUAAGUAUGAAUCUGAUGCAUAAUAGUACUUUUGCAAUUUUGUUUAAUUAAUUCUUAAGUUGAAAUAUAAAACAAGUCUUCCCCAAUCAACCACGAAGAAUUAAUACGCAUUUACUUUUUUAAUCGGAAAUUUAAAAUUAGUCCGAAUUUGGUUGAAGUGUUAAUUGAUGGUUUGAAUACAAAUGUCUAUAUAUGAUUUGUUUUUUUUAAUAUCUAAAUAUAAUUGACAUUACAUUUGUUUUUAUAAAUAAAAAAAAUCUUAAAUACAGUUAUUUAACAUUUAUAUCCUUGUAAGUUAAAAUGAAUAAAGGGCUUAAGUUUUAUAGUUUAGCAAAUAAGUAUAUUUAAUAGAGAUGUUUUGAGAUAUAAUAUUUACUUCUUCGUGCCUUUUCUUAUUUAUAUAAAAGUCAUAAAAGUUUACUCUUUUUUUUAAAUUCAAAUGUAAAUGUUUAAAAAUCAUAUAUAAAUUAAAAAAACAAACGAGCAAUUUUAAAAAAAUUUGAAAUAAAAAAAAUUCAAAUUUUAGACUUUUAACCAAUAAGCCUCCAUUUCACCUUGGUAAAGAGAGUAGUUGGCUACCAUGAAAUUUCUGAUCCCUGUCCAGUAUGGGCGUGUCAUGAAUUAAGCCAAGCAUUUUAAUUUUUGCCUUAAAAAAAUUUCCAUUCUCUGCUCUAGAAAAUUGAAAAAAAAAAAAAGUAAAACAUAGUUCACGUUGGUAUUAUUAUUAUAGUAGCAUCAUAAACAUCUCAAUCGUAAACCAACACCAGUUUUAUUUUGUGUGUUUACCAUUUUUCCACGGCAAUGUUACAUGGAUGUUGAUUGUACGACUUUCUUUAUCCAUGCCUUGCAUUGUUGUGUGUUUGGGAUUCGUCGGAGACUUUUCUUGGCAUUAAUCAUCUCUCAAAUUUUCAUAUCCUAACACAUAAUCAACGCGCGGACUGAAGACUUUUCUUGGCUUCAAUAAUUGAUGCAGAUUAUACACAACAGUAUAAAUUGGCAUGGAGUCCAGGAGUUUCGAUAUAACAAUAUAUCCUCAAAGCUAAUGAUAAUUAUAAUGUCAUCCAAAUUGUUCCUUCUAUUUGAAAAUAUAGCUCUGUUUUCUGUGUUGUUUUUUCAAUUGAAGCCCACAAUUGCUGAUUCUAACAAAAAAACGAUAAAGUGCAUUGAUGAGGAGAGAGAAGCGCUUCGCACUUUUAAACAGAGCUUGGUGGAUGAACAUGGCGUUCUGUCUUCCUGGGGAAGACAAGAUGACAAAAUUGACUGCUGUAAAUGGAGAGGAGUCCGCUGUAGCAACACAACAGGCCAUAUCAAGGUGCUUAAUCUUCGAACAUCCGACAAGGAAAACGCUCAGAGGAAGGUCUUGAAAGGUACAAUUAGUCCUGCUUUGCUUGAAUUGCAUGAUAUAAGACAUUUGGACCUUAGUAACAAUCACUUCAGUGCAAGCCCAGUUCCUAAGUUCCUUGGUUCGCUCAGCAAAUUGAGGUACCUCAAUCUCUCUUGUGGCACACCUUCAGAAUUCCCUCGUAAAUUGCGGGACCUUUCAGGAUUGGAAUAUCUCAACCUAGAAAACUCUAGUUUAUUUAGUGUGGGAAGCUUAGAGUGGCUUUCUCGUCUUUAUUCUUUAAGACACCUUGACCUGAGUUACAUUAAUCUCACUAAAUCUAGUGAUUGGUUUCAAGUAGUUGCCAAGCUCCAUUCCCUAAAAACAUUAGUCCUACGCUCGUGUGCUCUUCCACCUAUCAAUCCAUCGUUUAUUUGGCACUUCAAUUUGAGUACGUCUAUUGAGAACCUUGAUCUUUCUGACAACAAUCUCCCUUCUUCUUCAGUAUACCCUUGGCUUUUCAAUCUUAGUAGGAAUAUUCUUUAUCUUGACCUUGGCUCUAAUUCAUUACGAGGUUCAAUUCCAGAGGCUUUUCAACACAUGGUUUCUCUUAAAAGUCUUGAUCUCUCUGAUAGUGAACUUGAAGGUGGGAUUCCAAAAUUCUUUGGAAACAUGUGUAGCUUACAAAAGUUAGACUUGCCUCAAAACAAACUCAGUGGACAAUUCUCGCAGGUAAUUCAACAUCUGUCUGGUGGAUGCGUGGUGAAUUCACUAGAGCGGCUAUAUUUAAGUUAUAAUGACUUCACGGGGCCAGUACCUCAUCUUGGAGGAUUUUCAUCACUGGAAGCACUGAUGCUUGGCGUUAAUCGUUUAAAUGGAACAAUAGACAAAAGCCUCAGCCAGUUGUCGAAGCUCGAGUCUCUGUCACUACGUAUGAAUUCUUUCACAGGUGUUAUCUCUGAAACUUUUUUUUCCAAUAUGUCCAACUUGCAGAUGUUUGACUUGAAAGAGAACUCUUUGACUUUGAAAUUGAGCCAUGAUUGGGUUCCUCCUUUUCAACUGAAAUGGUUAAGUCUUGCCUCUUGCAAGAUGGGACCUCAUUUUCCAAAAUGGCUUCAAACUCAGAAUCAGCUUGUACUUCUUGACAUCUCCAAUGUUGGAAUCUCAGACAGUAUUCCUGAUUGGUUCUGGGAUUUGUCCAGUGAACUCUCUUACUUAAAUCUCUCUAACAAUCAUAUCAAGGGUAAACUUCCUGAUUUGUCUUUAAGGUUUGAUGGUACUCGUAGUGGUGGUACUAGUAUAGACAUCAAUUCAAACCACUUUGAGGGCCCAAUUCCACCACUUCCUUCAAAUUCGCUGUUCUUAAAUCUCUCUAAAAAUAAGUUCUCAGGAUCAGUUUCUUUCUUAUGUUCUAUUAGUGAAAACACUUGGAACUUUUUAGAUCUCUCGAGUAACUUAUUGUCUGGAGGGCUUCCCGAUUGUUGGUUGCACUUUGAUAGCCUAUUCGUUCUUAACUUGGCAAAUAAUAGAUUCUCAGGACAAAUACCGGAUUCGAUGGGUUUCCUAAAUAACAUUCGGACACUGAAUUUACACAACAAUAGGUUAGCCGGGGAAUUGCCUUCAUCUUUAAGGAAUUGCUCCCAACUGAGAGUUUUGGAUCUCGGGAAGAACGCAUUUUUUGGUGAGAUACCAACGUGGAUAGGGGAAAGUCUACAAAAUUUGAUUGUUCUUAGCCUAAAAUCUAAUAACUUUCAUGGAAAUAUAGCUUAUCAAUUGUGCCAUCUGGGAUUUAUUCAAAUCUUGGAUCUUUCUUUAAACAUUAUAUCGGGAAAUAUACCAAAGUGUUUCAAUAAUUUUUCAGCCAUGACCUAUGAAAGAUGUUCCAAUCCUACCAUUGGGUUCGCCAAAUCUUUCUUAGUUCUCCCUGGAAUUGGAUAUUACUAUAAAUAUUUGGUCAAUUUACUGUUGACUUGGAAAGGAAGUGAAAAUGAGUACAAAAGUACUUUGGGACUUGUAAGGUGCCUUGACCUUUCGAGUAACAAAUUAGAUGGAGCAAUUCCUGAAGAGAUUAUGGAUCUUGUGGGGUUGAUUGCCUUAAACCUUUCAAGAAACAAUUUAACCGGACCAAUCACUCCGAAGAUUGGUGAGUUAACAUCAUUGGAUUUCCUGGAUUUGUCUAGAAAUCUGUUUUCUGGAAGUAUUCCAUCUAGCCUCUCUCAGUUAAGUGGUCUUGGCGUCUUGGACUUGUCGUACAACAACUUGUCAGGAAAAAUCCCAUUAGGCACUCAGCUCCAGAGCUUCAAUGCUUCAGUGUACGCUGGAAAUCUUGAACUUUGUGGCCUUCCACUUGCAAAUAUGUGUCCGGAUGAAGAAUCAACUCCAAGUCCAGGCACAGACGAUGAUUCAGACACUCUAGAAGAUGAGGACGAUCAGUUUCUAACUCUCGAAUUUUACGUGAGCUCGAUUCUUGGUUUCUUUGUUGGAUUCUGGGGAGUCUGCGGAACUUUAAUGCUGAAUAGGUCGUGGAGACAUGGUUACUUCAACUUCCUGACUGGUAUGAAAGAUUGGGUCUAUGUGACAGCAGCUGUGAAUAUUGCCAAACUGCAAAGAAAGUUUAAGAACUAACUAAACGGUAAUACUCCUUAACAUUGGGUUUCAGUCAUUGUUGUCAGCUCACGUGCUUUUAAUUUCUUCAUCCUUAAAUUUUACUUUUUCUCUUAGCUUUUGUUCUGCCAACUAAUUGUUCAUCUUCCUUUUUUUUUUUUUUCAUUCACCAUCUUUUUGGCAGGGUAUCUCUGGGAUGACAUCUUGCCAUUAUUAUUCAGAGUGGUCAUUUGAUAUUUGGAAUCUUUCUGAAAAUUAACUCAUAUGAUGCACAUUGUAUUAUUGAGUAUAUGCUUAAAGAAACUUGUAUGUGGUUCUCCUUAGACCAUCGUCGAUCUAUGCGUUUAUAUACUCUGGUUAGAGUUCAAUUAUGCUAUUAAUCCAUUACAGCAAUAAAGGCAGUCAAAUUCUGCUCUGCUAUUGAUCAAUGUUUGCUCUUUUUUCCUUUUCAUUGGGUGAAUAAAUAAUAAAAGACAAAUCGAAUCUUUCUAUUUAAAGAGUUGUUGACUAAUAAAACUACUAAAUGGAUGAUAAAAUUAAUUAAUUAAUUAAUUAAACUAGAAUAAUCUUAUUGACAAAGUAGGUGGUAGGUUCGUACGAUUCCGGAUCAUUGGUACUAAAAUGUGAAGGAAGAGAUCGAACUUUACAAGAAUUUGUUCUUACUGUAUUCGAACUGGUAAUUGAUUAAAUUUGAUUAAAUUUCUAUGAUGGUGACAUAUAAUGACUUAAAUAUUAUUUUCAGAGAAUAUCACACACGACUUUUCUAUCCUAAUUUUUAUCAAUUUUCCGAACGUAUCAUCACAUACCAUCACGUUCAAGACCCGGCCAACUCUAUAACUAAGGUGUUACUAACGCACAUUAAUAUUACAUCGCAUUUUCACUGCCAUGGCCAAUUUCAGCGUUUCUCAUCAUUACUCUCUAUUUUGGCAAGUAUGGUAGGAAUCUUUAAAACAACGUACAAGAAUCAAGGGGAAGAAAUAAGAAACUGUAAAGAAACAUAAGUGGGAUAUAUAGUUUGUGAGAGCAUUCAAUUCAGUUCGUGGGGGCAUAAGCUUAAAUAAUUGAUGCAAUUUUAAGAGGUUUUUUUCCCCCCCUUGUACAAGGCUAGCUCUGUGUGUGACACUAUGAGCACACAACAGUGGUGAAUAAUAUUGCCAAAUUGCAACAAAGCUGUAGGGGCUAAAAGUUAAGUGUUUGAAUAUAUAAUAUUACCAAAUUGUUAAUGCUUAUAGGCUAUGUUUGGGAGCUAGGAUUAAUUGUAGGAUUGGACUAAUUAUUGGGACGAAAUAUUAAUACCAUGUUUGGCAUGCUUACUGGGAUUGGACUAAUGGAAUAAAUUCAAAUUUUAAUCCUAAAUUCAUGGGAUCAAUAAUCAUAAUUUUUAUGUGGGUUUAGUUGGGACUAGAUACUGUCAAGAAAAAUAUUUGUCCAUUUAUAAUAUCUUCCAUAAUUUAUUACACCAUUUUAUUUAUAACUUAAAAAUUAUUUAUUUAUGUUUUUAAUUAAGUAAUUUAUUUUUAUUCAUGAUUUACUCAAAAGUUAUUAAUUAAUUUAUUAUUUGAAUAAUUUUAUUUAUUUUAUUUAAUUAAAUGAUAUAUCUCAUUUGAAAUAACUAAAUUUAAAUAAUUUAUACUUCUUUAUUUGUGUGUGUGUAUAUAUUUCUUUUAAGCUUGUUAGUCUUCUGAACUUGUAAUUGGAGAAUUUUGAAACUUUCGCUACAUUUAUGAUUUGAGAGAGAAAUGUCAAGUGUUCAAUUUGUGGAUUUAUUUAAUAAAAUUUGAGAUAUUUCAGUUUGAAAUUUUGUAUAAGGAUUUCGAUAUGUAAACAACCUCCUACUACCACGUGCUCCACACGUGAUAAAUUUGGAGUGUUACAGUUGUUAUGCUUUACAUAUCCAAAUUGAUUAAGUUGAAAAUUAGGGUAAGAUGAUUAAGUUCUAGGGUUUUACUCAAGAGAAUUCAAGAGAGAAAAGAUGAGGAAUUUAAGAAUUCAGAGGAGAGAGAGAAGAAUUAAUAAGGGUUGGAAUUAAUUUUAUUAUUGCUUGCUUAAAAAAAUAAUGAGAAUCACUUAUUUAUAGUAGCUCAACACACUCCUAAUUCUAAUCUAAUUAGAAUCUUAAACUAUAAUUGCAACAAAAAAACCUAAUCCUAAUAGGAAAGAAGUUAAAAUAAACUACUACGGUUAUGUAGAGAUUUGAUUGAAUUGCUAAUCUUAUAAAACCAAAACUCUGCCCAUGAUCUUUGACUAGGACCAACAUAAGUUGCACACAAGCAAUAAAAUUGAACCAGAAUCUAUUCAAUAUCCUCUCCAGUCUCAAAAGACAUAACCACUCAAUAACAUAAAUUAAACAGCAUAAAAGAAUGAAUCAGAAACAAAAUCAGAGAGAGAGCAAGACAUAACGUGGUUCAAUCUUUUUUUGAGUCCGCACUCUGUUAUGAGUAAAACGCAAGCUUUCAUGUCGUUUUACAUUAAGUAAUCACGAGCUCCCUCACGUGACUUCAUAACGGAAUUAACCGAUAGCCAAUACGCUGCCGUUUGCUCUGGUUUAUAUUUGAAUUCAUUAACUCUACAGGUUCUAAUAGAUUCUAAUAUGAUUUUGUUUCAAAAUCAAGAUUGAAGAUCAUCCACGGCAGUAGGAGAUUUAAGUUGGAUGACUUAUGGUGUUGACAGUCUUUUUUUUCUUUUAUUUCCAGAAUUUAUUUCCUCCUUUGCAAGUUGUGUUCUCUCAAGACUCACAGCUCUGCCAAAUUCUGGCGUGAAGGCUUAUCACCUUCCUCUUUAAUGCAGGUUUGCAGCCCACAUCAGUCGCCAGUUGGAGUCAAAUGAAAAAUUUAGGGUCGUGUAAUUAGUCUUGUGGUGAUUUAAUAAGAAUGCAGUGAAGAAUUAAGAGAUAUUCAAGUGCCUGCAAUUGUGUUGGUUUCCCAUCUCUGCAAUUGUGCCAGAGGGAUAGUCCAAAUUCUUGUUGCGUUCUCUCAACUCUCAAUUCUCAUGAUAUUAGUUAUAGCUUCGUAAAGAACAUUUGGCAACAUCAGAUGGAGGAAUCUGAAACAGAGAUGGCGUCAUUGCCCUAUGAUUGAGGCUUUGAAUUAACUCUUUCCCAGCAUGUUUCUUUGAUUCAUGAGGAUAUACAUUCUCUUUUUUUUUCAUAAUACAUUAAUUAAAAAUUAUACAAAUGGAAGAAGGAAGCAAGUAAAGUAAAUCAAACAUUGAACAUGACAAGGUACAAAAGGCAAGCGAGUCUCAGGUAUCAAGCUUUCCUAGGCGACAAUCAAGUUCAACAAAGCAAAGGUGAAGCAAGGCAAACAAGAAUUCAAGCCGCACGUCAUAGACUCACCAAGCUUCAACACAGUGAACAAAUCAAGGCUGCUUACCAGUAUUUGUUGUACAAGCAAACUUCUCAGUUUUAUGUCACAACAGAUGGUAUCUCGUGUUCUUGAGCAGAGAAGAUACAAUAAUAUUUACCAUUAGAAUCUGCUAUCAACUCUGUUAAAUGUUGUUGCUCCAUGACCUGUGUCUUCAUUUUCGCUAUGCUUUAAAUUUUCUUAAAAUCUAACUCAUUUUGAAAAAAAAAGAAACCCAUUUCAAUAAGACCAGUUUAUAUAAAUGCAUAAAGAAGCCAAGCCAGAUUUGGCUGGCGAGUGGUGAAUUGUGUGAUCUAAUUGUGAUCGUAUAUAAAGCCAUUAAGUUUACGGUUUGGUUAAUUAUGUACCGUAUAACAAGGUCUUUAUAAUUUCAACUUGUUCGUGAAUAAUCAACAAAGCUAUUGCUCUGUUCUUCAAGAGGACUUGGGCCAUAUCUUAGGCUGAACCUCAACUACUCUGUAUUUGAUUACUCUCUGUGAUUUGUUGAUUCUGUUUUCAUUUGAUUACUCUGUUAAUUCCUUUGAUUCUUGAUCAAAUAUCAAAAAGUUAAGUGAGGUCCUGGAGGAUCAUGAUCGGUCAUCUAACACUCUCAAACACGAGUUCUUGAUCUAACUUCCACAAACCUACGAAGUAUUUUGACUUUAGUUGGCAAAUGAAAACAAGGGUUUUAACAUCAAAGGAAAUGGUACCAAGGAAGAUGGCCAAUUCGGGAAUUAAGAUCACAAAGGAAGCAGAGGAGCUCUGUCGUUGGUCCCUGCAGUAUGCAAGUGAUUUUGAUCCUAAUCUCUCAACUUCGCAUCUAUUAUUGCUGGCCUAUCUUCUUCCGACACAGAGGGACAUUUCAAGGCAAGUACUACAAGAAUUUGCAAUUGCUUCACUUUUCCUUGACCCGGUUGAAUUCCAAUGACAAUGGGGUCCAUUAUCUCAACAAACCUAUUAUUUUCAAUAUGUUUCUUGACCCAAUCCUUAAAUAAAGUUUCAUCAAGGCAACAUUGAAAAUCAUAUGUCUUCUUGCCAAUCAAAAGCUCAAGCAGCAAGGCAGCAAAGCUAUUAACAUCGCAAUUUUCUCUGAAUGCUCCAUGAGAAUGGUAUUUAUGUUACCAUCCAACUCAAACCUGGAAAGAUAUUGUCUAUUUUAAGUCUUAACAAGGCCGCAUGGUUUUGUUUCUAGGACACCCAUACAUCCCAAAACGCAUAUUAUCAAUAAAGGUGUGGAUCAGCUCUUAUAAACCCAGCAUCUCUUUUGUACUUUGUCGAUGUGAGAUUGUCUUGGGUGUUACAAUUCAGGUGCCAUUAAUCCAAAUUUGGCCAUUGUGUGAAGUACUCUUAUGUGUAUUUUAACCUCUGAAACAAAAACUGGUGACAUGGAGGUAUUACAUGCAUUAUCAUUAAAUUAAUAUACGAGCUACUCUCAAAGUAUGUGUUGUAUGCAUGUUCUUAAUGUGGCUCACAUUCAUGAGUUUGAGAUUAAUUAAGGCUACUCACAUUUUUAUGAUUAGAUAAUGAUAAGAAUAGUUGUUCCAUAUUUCUAAAAAAUUAAGAUAAGGAUAAUUUCUCAUUUUCUUGAUGGAGGGAAGUGAAGGAAGUCCAUAAAAUAGACUAAGGGUCCUUAGCCUAGCCUACAUACGACUUUCCGUGAGAAUUACCCAUCGAAUUAAAGGCUAUAUAGAGGAAUAGACUAGAAAAUUCUAACCAUUUUUUCAAUUAACUUAAAUAAUAAUGACUGGAGGUAGAGGUACGUAACUUAUUUAAGUUUAUAAUCUAAAAUAUAUUUGGAAAAAUGUUUUUUUCAUCCCUAAGGUUUGAAAUAGCCUAUUUUAUCCUCACUACUUAAAUAAUAGUCUGUUUCAUUCCUAUUUUUUAAGUAAUAGCCUGAAACAUCCUUUCAUUAAUUUAUUGUUAUUAUACCGUAUAAUUCAUUGAGGGCAAAAUAAGAUUUCUAAAUAAUGAUCAAUUAUUUUAAAAUAAACUCUCAAAUACAAAUAAAAAAUAUCUGUCUUUCUACAUAAAUUUAAAAUUUAAGGAUUACUUAAGAAAGAAAAAAAUAACAUUAAAUAAUAUGUAAAAUAUACAUUUAGGACAAAAAAAACCCAUAGAUUUCACAAGCACUAGAUUAUUAUUUUUAUCCUUUAGCUUAUUCUUAACUUUAAUAUGGUCGAAAUAAAUAAAUAAAUGAUCAAUCAGUACUGUUAUUCUACCAAAAGUAAUUAUGGACUCCUUUAUUUACUUAAAAAAAAUACACACUAAAUACAUAACAAAAUACAUUUAAAAUACUGCAGAAUAAAAUAUAAUGCAUUGGAUUUUAUUUUUUUUAAUCUUUUAGCUUAUUCUUGACCUUAAUAUAAACAAUGAUUCUUGAUGAAAAGAAUUAUUAUUAUUAUUAUUAUUAUUAUUAUUAUUAUUAUUAUUAUUAUUAUUAUUAUUAUUAUUAUUAUUAUUAUUAUUAUUAACUUUGUUAAAAAAAGAAUUUAAUGAACACACACAUAUGUGUGUGUGUGUGUGUUGCAUAUUCUUUAGUAUUAUUUUUGUUUCAUUAAGUUAUACUUAAAUUUUAAAUUUAUGCAAAAAAGUCAAAUGUUAUUUAAUUAUUUUUGAGAUUUUUAUUUUAAAAAGCUUUAUAUAUUUAUUUAACUAAAAUUUUUUUAUUUUACCCUCAAUGAAUUUCAGAGUAAACUAAUUAUAAUUUUAUUUUACCCUCAAUGGGCGUGUCAUGAAUUAAGCCAAGCGUUUUAUUAUUAUAUUAGCAUUAUAAACAUCUCAACCGUUACUAAGUACUCUAUGGUUCGGGUAAUCAAUGUUUGUGUGUGUGAACUCCUGAUUAUUUUCAUUUGUCUCUGUUUCUAUCAGUGUUUGGCCUGGGCACAAAGUUUUUUAUGUUCUAAUUUAUUUUCGAAAUCAAUUGACUUUGUAUCAUUAUGUUAUGAUUUAUUUUUUAAAUGAAUUGAAGCAGAGCAAAGCUCACAACGUGCCGCCCAGCCGAAAUGAAUUGAAGUAGAGAAUUUCAGGUUUUAUUAUCAGUAAAACUUUAAUGUCUGAAGUCAAGUACUUAAUUAUAAGGUUUUAAUAAAUUAAACAAUUCAAAUUUAUUCUUCUUUUUAAAUUAUAAAAAUAUUAUUAGUAAAAAUUUUUAAUAAUAAACUAAACUCAACCCAACAAAAAUGUAUUUUGGGUGUCAUCGUUUCUUUACCAGGCGCUCUGACUCUCUUUAAAGAACCAGUUGAUAAUUUUUCUAUCAAAUUAAAGCUCCUCAAAAUAUUCAAAUUUUAUCUUAGUUAAUGUAACUAAUAAAUAAAAUCUCAAAAUUCACAUAAAAAAUUUAUGAAAAUGUUGAUAAUUGUUACUAUAUGUUAUUUUUUUAAGUAGUUUCAUACUAGUGACAAUUUUAUAUUAGAUUGAUAUAUUUUUUUUAAUUAGAAGGUUUUUUAAAUAAAUUAAAGUAAUAACAUUUUACCCCUAAUGUUUUUAAUCUAUAUAAUAAAUAUAUAAUUUAAUCAUUUUAUAAAAUAAGUCACUAAUUUCAAUUGAAAAAAAAAUUGAAUUAAGGACAUAUUUGAAUAUAUAUGGCUUAAUAUCAUAUGGUUUAUAUAUAUAUAUAUAUAUAUAUAUGGACGUCGUUACUAAAAUAAAAAAAAAAUACAGUUUUUAGAACACUAACAGCCAAAGUCCCCAACGUAUAUUUAUUUAGAUUCUCAAGAAACCUUUGAGGUUGUAUGAUAUCAAAGUUGGAUUCAUUACACAUGACUAGUAGGCAUUAACAGGGAUCUAUUUACAAUUCUCCAGAUAACAAAAAAGCGGUAAAUCUAUUAAAUUUAUUGCGCCCAAUUCUCAAAAUCAUUUGCUAGUAACAGAAAGAGGACUUCACAACCCCAGUAAUAAGAACUCUUAACUAAAGAUGGUCGAACAGGGCAAAUUCUGUGCAGCUCAUCUCUCGCAUUCAGAUUCAAAACCACAACCACAAGAAGCUGCUGUCUAUGGCAAUUGAAUUGCUCCAUUUUUCCCUAUAAAUUUUCGUGGAAAAUCAUCAGUAUGAAUAGGACCACAUCAAUGUAAAUGUACAUGUAUAUAUAGCAGCCAUUCAUCACAAAUAUAAUUACAUGUUUACAAAAAUGAAACAUUUUUUAUUUAUCCUAAAGCACCUUUUCCUUCCUCAUUUUUUUUUCCCUCUUCUAUGGUUUGUGAGUGUGUGCAUUAUGCAUGAGAAAUAUUUACCUUAUGAUACUAAGGUGUCCAACGAUGAAGCCAUUCAAUUUCCGUAAGGUAAAUGAACCAAGCCCAACAGAAUAUUUACAGACCAUGGACAAAAGGGAGGAAGACAACAAAAGGGAGAACCAUUUUUGUAAGCCCACUUGUACUUUCAGCGACAACCUAAGUGGUUGGCUGUGUGUUCAAUCAGAUCAUCUUUCCAAAGCUUAGAGUAUGGCUUUAUAUUUAGUUUCUUCGCAAAGUUCCUCAGAUCACCUAAUUUCAUAUUUCUCAAGUGACUAGAAGUAAAGGGGGAAGAUGCCACAGCCUCAGUGCAGGACUCAAUUGAAUGGGAGUCUGUGAUUGAGAGGUCAUCCUUACCUGCACUAUCAUUUGGGUCUCUGUGUGAUUUUGAUAAGUCCAUUUCAAGGAUUGGCAAACUUGUCUUCUUUUUUAUUUUCUUUUUUGGCAGUGAAACUGAAAUUUGCCUGUCAUCCAGAGCACCAUUGGGCUCAUUUGCUUCAAUUGGAUGAUGGUAAACUAUUUUCUUGACUAUCUUUCUGUCCAUAAACUGAUUUGAACUGGGAAUGUCAGAGCCAAGUCCAGAUUUCAAUUGUCUCUUAGCUUUUGAAAUUAUAGAUGAAUUUGAAACAAGUUCAAAAGAAAGAAAACCUUCUCUUUCUUGAACACCUGGUGGAUUUGACUCAAUUUUUCUCUUAGCCUUCUGCUUUUGUGGCUGCACUGAGUACAAAUCAAACCUCUCAUCAUUAGUGGCAGUUUCAACCACUUGAGCUUCUCCUGAUUGCAUUGAUCCCUUAUCAGGCUCUGCCUUGGUUAUAUCUCUUCCUUCCUCAUCCUGCAGCAGUGAAUGUUGGUUAUCAGUAGGACUAGCUCUUUCAACUUUGACAAUGUUCUCAAAAGGUACCUUGGUUGUAUCCCUCUCUUCCUUGUCUUGACACUCUAAAAAUGACGGCAGGGCCGAAUGUUCAUUACCACUAGGACUAGCUCUUUUAAACUCGACAAUUUUUUCAAAAGGUGCCUUCAUUUUAUCUCUUCCUCCCUCAUCUUGCAGCUCUAAAAGUGAAGGCAGGGCAAAAUUUUCAUUAUCAGUAGGACUAACUCUUUCAACCUUGACAAUUUUUUCAAAAGGUGCCUUGGUUGCCUCUCUUCUUUCCUUGUCUUGCAGCCCUAAAAGUGAAGGCAGGGCAGAAUGUUCAUUAUAAGUAGGACUAACUCUUUCAACCUUGACAAUUUUUUCAAAAGGUUUUCUAUUCCCUUCUGCUCCUGAAGAUGAAGAUGAAGAUAAAGAGUCUAUCUUGCCAGUCAGAGUCAAUUUUGAUUCUUUGAUGCACCAUUUACGUGCAGCUUUCUGAGCAAAAUCACACAGUUUUUGAUUAACAUCACAGAAUCCACCUUUUGCCUGUCUGACAGCAUUUAAAUUAGAGUCAGAAUGAUUUCGCCUCUGAUUGAGACCAGCAGUAUGUCUCAAACUAGCAGGACUAGCAUCACAAUUCCCAACUUCUAAAUCAUAAAGAGUAGCCAACACAGAAUCAGAAUUACAGAGAAGUGAGCAAAUUACCUGAACCUUAAUCAUGUCUAGAUUGUGUCUCCUCUUACCAGCAGUCUUCAAAGACAAAUUUUGGAUAACAUUUUUUUCUUUGGUAGUAAAGCCAGGUUCUUCGGUUUCCCCCUUACUGUCACUUUUCAAGUCAAAGCUGCUCAUUAUUUUCUUAUAAGCAGCAUGGCCAGCUUCCAGUGUCAAAUAGUCUGGACUGGAGUUGGAAUCUUCAGCAUUACCAUUUGUAAGCUGUUCAUAAUUAGAGCAGGGACUUAAAUGCAAAAGAAGACUAACUAUGAAUAGCUAUGAAGAAGUACUUGGAUCCUUGUAUAGAAAUAAGAAAAAAGAUAUACAAAAUAAAAAACUUAUUCAUCCAUGCACUCAAACACCAACAUGAAGUUUCAAUAGUUCCAUUAGCCCUUUCAGAACAUGUGCUAACAGAAGUUGAAGCAUAAAAAGAUAAAGCUAGUCAUACCUUAAUUGUUUCUGAAUGGUUUGAUUUAUUCUCUUGAAGCAUCAAAGAUGCAUUUAAGGUCGCACAAUUUUCUGUGGGAGUUAUAGAGCAUUCUUGAAUUUCCUCUUUUAUGGGGACAAAAGAAUCAGACUGACUCAAUUUUAUGCUCUCAUCCAAAGGUUCAGCUGCAUGCUCCGGAGAGGCAACUACACCCAGAGUCUGCUCAUUUGAAGGUUAAACAUACAGUAUCACAUGUCAGCUCCUGGAAGAAAAGGAAAAACAUGCAGGUCUUGAAGAAUAACAUAUGAGAGUUACAUCAAAUGGAAAUGAAGGGAGGGAAAAUCAAUACGCUGAGAAAACAUAAUGAGGUUAGACAUUACAAAAUUAGAGUAAUCCUACUCAUGGAAUGAUAUAAUUAUCAGCAAUCUACUAUUGAUUCAAUCCAUUAGACCAUAGGUAUUAAAAUUCUAUUCUCGUUUCUUCUUAGAGGUACAAAAAAAUGGAAAGGAAAAAAAUGGGGGAAAAGUUCUAGCUUGAUAUUAUGGAACUUUUACACGACGCAGAAACAAUACUUUGCUUAAGAACAGAGUAGAAAAAAGUGAGAAUCUGCAAAAUAUAUCAUGGUCGGUGCUUGUUAAUUUAAAGUUGGAAUCACUCACACACAAAGAGCAUAAAAAUGGUAGAUAACUUGAAUGAGCCUGUAAAGGCUUCCAAUAUCCCCAUUCACAGUUGUCACACACUAGAAAAUUAAGAAAUGACUAAUAAAGAGUUUUCGAGGAUGAACCUGCUUGUCUUUCUCUUGGAAGUAAUCAUUGAGUAGAUCCUUUACUAUUUCAUGUAUUUUCUUUAACUUGUAAAUUAAAGCGCAAUUGAUCAUAAUACAAAUUAAAAUUAAAAUUAACAUUAAAAUUCAGCUCACAUUAGAUUUCAACGAAGGAAAAAAAAAUUGCAAGUGAUAACCAGGAAGAAUGUGCAUAAAACAGAGAUAAAAUGCCGGAAAAUUGGGGGAAUGUGGCUUUCUAGGAAGCCAAACAGUACGAAAUGAGAGUACCUGAAGUUAUUGCUCCCCUCAGAUUGAGCUAAAACGAUAUUAUGAUACACAUUUCUAGGGUUUCGAGAUCUUGAAUCAGAUUGGGAAAGUGCAAUUAGUGAGUGAAAUUUUGUUUUCUGAAAGCAGGCUAAAGAUUGAGGUAAUUUAUGAUUUUGUUGAGGGUAAUAUUGGAAAUGAGUGACACGUAAUUGGACAAAGGGAUCCUUGUGUCCUCGCGCGUUGAAGCCAGCUACUGUCAUUGUGGGGCCCUUCUUUGACUCAUUGGACUUUUUUUCGUUUUGUUUUGCAUGCAAAAUUGGCGCGGCCGAAACCGUUGAUUCGUUGACUUGCCAAAUCGCCAAAUCCUAUUGGUAAAAGAAGAAACGUUUCGUAUAUGUGUGGGGUCCACUACGAGUGGGAAAUUUCUUCUGUUGUUUGGUUCAUCGUACAGCCGCCGUUUCUACUUUUAGAAUAAUUCUUCAGGAACAUAUUUUAUGAAGCAUUCACUAUUAAAUGUAUAUUUUACUUCCAAAGGACUAAACAAAAAUUAUAAGUUUAUGUAUAUGUCAUAUAAGACUAUAUAUGAAUGUUCUCCAUAUCUCCCAGAAGAAGUUAGAAAAUGAUUAUAUAAAUAAGGCAUAAUUGUUUCUUUGAAAAAUUUUAAAGGAAAUAUAACAUAAUUCCAAUUGACCCAUUUGAAUUUUUAAUGAUCGGAACCGAACUGUGGGGGUUAAAGAUCAGUUCUUUUGCGGCUUCGUUUUAAUGUUUGGAUCUGGAUAGGAGGGGUUUCAACGAUUGGGCCAUGACCGACGCGGUGUGACCACUGGUGAGUUGAGAGGUGGCGAAGGGGCCGAUGAAGAGGGAAAGAGAGCCACAUGAGAAGGGAUUGGAAGGGCUCGCUGCUUUCGAAGAAGAAGAAAGCGAAAAAAAAAAAUGAGAAACGAAGAGACUGAAGGUGAAUAAGCGAGAAAGUUUUGUGAGUUUUUGAUGGAUGUUGAUGCCUGACUGGAGUUUGGAGAUCCUGCUCCAGCACUUCUCUAGAGUUGCCGGUGAAGAAAACUCUUUUCUAAUUAGCUUUCGAAUGUAUUGAGCAAAGAUCACCUGAUUGAUUUACUAAAAUCAGAUGGAUCAUGAACUCAUUGCUUUUUAUGCUCUCAAUAUUAAUAAAAUUACAAAGUUUGUGAUGAACAAAAAAAAAAAAAAAAAAAAUUUCGGCAACAUCGGCAAGAAAUGGUGACAAAAUAGAAAUCAGUGUGAAUGUGUAAUCAUCUGCUUGUUUUAUUCCUUUUUUCCCCUUGAUUUAAGUUAUACUAAAAUGGAUGAUGGAAAAGUGGAAAUCCCAAAUGCUGAUUUGUGAAUAUUAGUUCCUUUUUGCUUGAAUCAAAUGAUGAAGAAUCCGGAGAGGGAAAGAUUAGUUCUCUGUUUAAAAGCAGCUUUACAUUUUAAUAUUAAAAAUUGUAAAAGUAUAAGUUGCCGUUGGAUUCGAUCCAAUGGCUACAGAUUGUCUCUCGGAUUAUAACUCCAAUCCAGGAUACUGGAUUGGAAAACUACUCUUACGUUGACAUUUAAAAUUUGUAAACACAAAUGUAAAAGUAUAUGUUUUCUGACUUUUUACGUUAAGAAAAACAAAAUAUAUAUUAAAUAGCCCUACAUUUAGUAAAUCAAAUUUAAUUUUGUUGGUACAUGAUUCAAAAUUUACUUCAUGACAUCAAAUUACACUCAGCAUUACAUCAGUAAAACACAUAAUCUACCUAUAUUCCACUAGAAAUUUAUUUUUCCGAAAGCCUAUUGACCUGAACGAAGACUUGUUGAGAAGGACAUUUUAGCUACUUCUGUGAAGAAUAUAACUCAAGAGGCAAUUGGCAGCCGCUUGGACUGCGCGGUUGUUCCGUUAAAAAUUGGGUCCCUGAAAUUUUCUGUCAGCGCUUUCUCAUCAGCAUAAGAAGCUGAAAUAAGUGAGUGAUAAUGAAACUUUUUAAGGGCUGAACAAGAAGCACUUUUGGUUCAAGAAAAGCAGUUAUCAAGAGCAAAAAACAACAUUCCGAAAAUUAAUCUGACACUGGUCUAUAAAAACAGUUGGUUUCAUUUGCAGUUACAAUAUAAUAUAUUUUCUUUCCUAUUGCAAGUACAAAUACAGGGGCGGACCCAGGAAUUUGUAUUACCCCGGGCUAAAUUAAAAAUAUUUAUAUUUUAAAGUGAGCAUAAAAAUUCAUAAGUAGAAAAAAGUGCAUCAAAUAAGGGGGACACGAAAAAUCUUAUCCAUAUAAGUACGUACUUUAAACAAAAAUGGUUAUAUAAAAAGAGUAGAAAACAAAGGUAAUUAAAAAAUAAAAACAUUAUUUUACAAUUAUGGAAUCUGACUCUAAUAAAAUGUAAUUAUACAAGGAUUAAUAUAUUAAUUGAGGAUUUUAAGUUGAAAUAAAUGAAUACAUGUAAUCACAAUCAAUUAAAAAUUGCUAGUAAAACUUUAAUGUCUGAAGUCAAGUACUUAAUUAGGAGGUUUUAAUAAAUUAAAAAAUUCAAAUUUAUUCCUCUUUUUAAAUUAUAAAAAUAUUAUUAGUCAAAAGUUUCAAUAAUAAACUAAACUCAACCCAACAAAAAUGUAUUUUGGGUGUCAUCGUUUCUUUGCUAGGCGCUCUGACUCUCUUUGAAGAACGAGUUGAUGAUUUUUCUAUCAAAUUAAAGCUCCUCAAAAUAUUCAAAUUUUAUCUUAGUUAAUGUAACUAAUAAAUAAAAUCUCAAAAUUCACAUAAAAAGUUUAUGAAAAUGUUGACAAUUGUUACUAUAUGUUGUUUUUUUUUAAGUAGUUUAAUACUAGUGACAGUUUUAUAUUAGAUUGAUAUACUUUUUUUUAAUUAGAAGGUUUUUUAAAUAAAUUAAAGUAAUAACAUUUUACCCCCUAAUGUUUUUAAUCUAUAUAAUAAAUAUAUAAUUAACUCAUUUUAUAAAAUAAGUCAUUAAUUUCAAUUGGAAAAAAAAAUUGAAUUAAGGACAUAUUUCAAAUAAUUGAUCCACGGCUGUAAAUAAUUACCGAGAAAAGCAUCAAAUAAAGUUUCGUAGUUCACUGGAUAUCUACUCUACAGCCAGCAACAACAAAAAUAUUAGCAAUUAAAUUAAAAUAAAUAAAUAAGUGGAAGAAAAAAGAACAAAGAAAAAUGAUAUCCAGCCAAUUGCCUCUUGAGUUAUAUUCUUCACUUAAAACCAUGCAAUAAUACGUAAGAGACUAAAAGAGUGGUGUUAAGUAAGCAUACUCUGGGGAAUGAAAAACUUAACACCAUGCAGAAUCUGCAAGAGACUAAAAGAGUGGUGUUAAAAAGAGUGUUACUAGCAAUAAACACAUGUGAUAAAUAAAUACAAUCUCACGUGCAUUUUCAACAAAUGUUCGAACUACGAAACUUUAUUUGAUGCUUUUCUCGGUAAUUAUUUACAGCCGUGGAUCACAUGCUUGCUGUUAUGGCGAGCAUUUUUGAAUGGUAAUGACUUGUGGUUUAAUUUGGGGUUUUGCUAAAUUAUACUAACUCGGAAUUAAUUUUUUUGUAUGGAUAAUUAUUGUUGCUGUGUUAAAUAAUUAAAGAGCUAUGGGAGAUUAAUUUUAGAUUAACUGUCAGUUACAGUGAAUUUUGUUGUGCUUUCCCUUGUAAAGUGGCGCAUAAUUGCAUACGUGUUAAAUUAUUUAUUAACUAAGAGCAUGACAAUAUUGGAAAAGAAGGAGGGAAAAUAAAUAGAAGACAUGAUAUUUAGAGAUGACUUUUAUUCACUCUCAAACAUAUACAAAUAAGGAGAUGAGCUCUUAUUUUGUAAUCACAUAACCGUGUAAAUGAAGUAAAUAAUUCGUAAAUAAAUAUAUCAUUAGACAUAAGUUCUUUUAAGAUAGUGAAAAUUAUAAGAAAUGAAGAGUUGUUUGAUGUGAAGAUAAAAGAUUCUUUGAUGAACAUCUACAUAAAUUAUGAUUAUUUGAUAACAUUUCUCCUUGGAUGUUCAUCCUAAAAAGAAUAUGGCUCAUUGAAACCUUUGCUGGUAAAAACCUUAUGAGAAAUAGACUAACGAAGGAAAAGGAAUACACUAUUCAUUUAUACCUUAUAGAGGUAGGGGUACAAUCUGCCUUGUUAAAACUUUAAUAAGAAAAUCCAAUGUGACAAAAACUUAAUGAAGGAAAAAGAAUAUAGUGCAUGGAGCCUUCUAUAUCCGUAACUCCCUUCUCUUCAAUAAGGGCACUUUCCCUCAAAGUGACAUGGGUGCUUCAAUGAUCAAUCAUAUUUUAUUGUAAUACCUUGGUUAAAUAAUCUACAAGAUCAACACAUCUUUCAAGAUUUUUCAUCUGGAAUCUUAUUCAUUCUUAAAAGAAUAAAAUCAUAAGCUCUUCAAGAGUAUUUUCCAUUUUUAGAUCAUCAACAUAUUUUGCAAAGAUUGCAAAUCUAAUUUUUAAUUUUUAAUAAAAUCACAUAGCUAAGUGGAUAACAACAUAUCAAGCUUUUAACAAAUUUCACUAAAGUGAUUAUACUUUAUAACUCUAGAUAGCUAUAACAUACACAAUCAUGAUUAUAGCCCUAUCAAGAAUAUAGAAAGUGCAAGUUUUUUGAUUUAAUACUUCAUGUACUUAUUUCUAGCAUUUUAUCCUUCAAAUAUAAGUACAUAGAUUCUUUAAUUUGACUUUGACAUAGCAUAGUUUAGAUACAAGUUUUAUUAGAAAUUUUAUGGCUUCAGGUGUGUGGACUAUAUGUUAAAAUUUUUAUAUUUUGUUAAUUAAUUUUAUGUCUUCUAACAGAUGGACCACAUGUCAAAACUUUGGCUAAUCACAUAAAUCGAUAUUGUUUUAUAUUUUUGUGAUUUAGGAUCUUGAAUAUUUUAUCAUAACAACUAAAUUUUUAUUAACAACAAUCUUAUGCCAAUUUCAAUUUUUCUCUUGCACCAAGUACCAACAUACUAGUGAUUAAAUAUUUUUUAUUUGUCAAUAUAUGUGCCCAAUGAGAUAUUUUGAAGCUUCUAAUAAAUAUGUCUAUGCAAGGGUUAAAACUCUCUUUUAAUUUCCAAGCAUGUCUUUUAUAGGACAAUUUGGAUCUCUUUAUUCCUCACCAUUUACCUAUUCAAGAGUAUUUAAGAUUCCUUUUCUAGUUAGUAGGAGCUAUAUAUUCAAUCACUUAAUAAAGAUCAAAUAUUUUGCUAUACAUGCGAACAUGGUCUCUGUAGAGCAUUGAAUUAUUUUGUUUUAACUUCCCGAGAAUUAAAUUCUUGCAUCAAUUGAUUUAUCACAUGCUUCAAGCGUUUAUAUAUUUAAUUAUUUGUCUCAUCAUUUCGUUCUUCAAGGACAUCAUAUAUAUCAACCCACAAUCAUAUUUUAUUUGUGAUUUUUCACUUUCAUAUAUCAACAAAUUCAUUCAAUAAUCGAUCAACAAUUCACAUUGUAUAAUAUCCCUUUUGAACUUCAAGUUCAAAUUACAUAAAUAUGAAGACGAGGUAAAGUGAUAUAUAGUAUUAUCAUAAAAUCAAAUCAUCCAUCAUGUAUAGCUUUUCUAUCCCUUGUGAUGGGAAGACCUUUUCAUAAAAUAUUUAUGCAUAAAUAUUGGUGAAUCAUAACAAAUAAUAAAUUGCUUCUAUAAAUUCAUCUUCACUUGAUUUAAACAAAAAUAAAAAAUCAAGACAAUCUGUUACCUCUUGAUUAAAAUUCUUCUGAAUUUUAUAUAAUUUGAUACAUAAUCAUUAGCCUGAUUUACAAAUUUACCAUUUGAGCUUCAUCAUUUCAAACUAUGUAAGAAACUCUAGAAUUAUUGAAGUUUCAUCACAAAUUUUUUCAAUUUCUAAUUUGUUCUACUUCGUGUGGUGCUAUAUAUAUAUUGCAAUCAUAAAUACUUAAAUGUUGAUCUCUGCAAUGUCAAUAAAUUUAAUCAUGGCAUGUCUUCCACUAAUCCCACAAUUAUCAAAUAAACAUUCGCUUCAAGGAAUGUUACUGCUGGAGCAUAAAUGAGCUAUAAAAUAUUUGCUCAUACCACAUGUUCUCUUUAAAUAUAUUCUUGAUGAUUUUCUCCUCAUAUACAUAUAAAAACAAGAAAAUCAAAUCAUGAACUUUUGUUUGAUCUUUCAGUGAUCGCAUGUUUUCUUUUACUUGUUUCAAAGAAACAAAUUAUCCAUUUGGAUAUUCAAUUUUCGCUCCUUCAAGGAGAUAAAAUAAAUCACCAUUUUAAUUCAAUCCUUGAACAUCUUCCAUAUAUUAUGUUAUUUUUCCUUCAAAUUUUUUUUGAAACAACCAAUUAUGCCUUAUUUAUAUAAUCAUUUUGUAACUCGUUCUGGAGAUAUGGAGAAAGAAAUUCAUAUAUAAUCUUAUACGACAUAUACAUAAACUUAUAAUAAAGAAGCGAUUUCAUAGAUUCAUUCUCUUAAAUCAUAGAAAAACAUAUAAAUAUAAUUUUAGACAAAAUCUAAAUAGUUCAAUUCAUACCUUUAUGAUUAAGAUCAAAAGAGAGAAAUUUACCGUACUACCUUUUUCGCUAAGAAUCGUAUUGAUGCAUGUUAAAUUAUUUAUCAAUUAAGAGUUCAACAAUAUAGCAAGAGAAAGAGAGAAGCAAAUAAGAGACAUGAUGUCUAGCGACGAAGUUUAUUCAAUCUCACGUAUAUACAAACAAGGAGAUGAGUCAUCCUUUUAUAGUCACAUAACCAUAUAAAUGAAGUAAACGAUUAGUAAAUGGAUAUAUCAUUAGUUAUAAGUUCUUAUAAGAUAGUAGAAGUUAUAAGAAAUAAAAAGUUGUUUGUUGGGGAGAUAAAAGGUUGCUUUGAUGAACAUUUACAUAAAUUAUAAUUAUUCUCUCUCUCUUUCUCUCUCUCUCUCUCUCUAUAUAUAUAUAUAUAGAGACAAAGAGAGAAAAUUUUCAAUUCAGGAUUUUAAAGUGCGGGAACUACUAUAUAUAUAUAUAUGUAUGUAUGUAUGUGUGUGUGUGUGUAUGUAUGUAUGUGUGUGUAUGUAUGUAUGUAUGUAUGUGUGUGUGUGUAUGUAUGGAUGUAUGUAUAUUGGCAAGACAAAUGACGUUUAUAAUUAGAAAAUAUUGCUCUCUCAAUAUCCUGCAUAACAAUUGUAGCAAUCCAAAGUUAUCUGUUUAAUUACACAAUAGUUCAAAGAUGAAAAUGCUUAUAUCUCAAAAAGAAAAUUAAUGAGAAGAAAAGAGACAAGUUUAAUAUGUGGCCUUUUUUUUUUUAAAUUGUGAACUUAAUUAAUUUAAUUUCAAUCAGUUAAGUCAUUAAAGUCUGUUCAUUUUUUCAACUUAUUAAAAGUUUUCAAUUAUUAAACCAAUUUUUUCCUUUUCGCUUUUUACUUAAUCUAAAAAAUCUGAAGAUAUUGUCUGAAAUAUCUCAAUUUAAUAAAUCUAUUUCAUCUAAAUAAAAUUUAAUCAGGGGCAAAGCCAAAAAAAAAUUGGGUGGGCUAAAUGUUUUCCAAAGUCCAAAUAUUAUCACAAUUAAGAGUGUAAAACUUAAUAAAAAGUUCAUUAAUAUAUAAGAAAAUAAAUCGAAUCCCAAAAGUAAUUCAAUUACAAUUAAAAAUUCCUUAGGUUGUACCUUACGAUACUUUCGAGCAUUAAAUUUAUCUAUUAUUGAAUUUGAAUCGAUAGUGUCUACAAUUCUCUUUUAUUGUAGAUAAACCAUACAAUUUGAUAUAAACUCCUUCUCCAUCUUAUUUUGAAGUGCUGUCUUGAUUACCCACUAAACCAGGCCAUUUGAUUCAGCUCUUAGAUUUCUUCUUUUCUUUCAUAGAAACAACUAUCUCUAAUAUAUGAUCUAUCAAUAAUCAAUUUAAAAAUUUAAUUGCUAGAAUUCAAUGAUUUGACCUAACAAUAAUUUAAUCUUAUGCAAUAAAAUUAGAAUAAGAACUAACUAAAGUCUUUACUACCAUACAAUUAAUAAAUAUAUUGUAAAUAAUUAAAUAAAAAAUAAUUUUAUUAUAUGUUUUUACCAACAAAAGAUAAAUAACUGAAGAAGAAGCAGAGCACGUCAACACCAAGAACCCAAGAAACAAAGAGAGCAUGUUUUGAAAGAACAAAGUAAAUGCUCACUUUUACUAAUUUAUUUAUAUGAAGGACAAAGUUGCAAAUUAAUGGAAUGAUAAAGUUGUAAAUAAAAGAAAGGGUAAUGAGAAUUUUGUAAACUUUGCACAAUGGUAUUUUUGGAAAUUUAUCAAAAUUUUGGACAGGCUGCAACCCACAAGUAGCUCCGCCCAUGAAUUUAAUAAUUAGCAUUAUUAUUCAUUUCUAUAAACUAUGAUAAUAGAGUAGUAGAUUAUUACUAUUUGUAUCUUUUUAUUUUCUUCAAAGAAUUAUUUAUCUCCAUAAUUUUUAUAAAAAUUUUCAUAUAACCCAUCGUAAACUGUAAUAAAAUUGAUUUACAUGUUUUAAUUCAUAAUUUUAAAGGAUUAUUUUCACUUCAACAUCAUUUAUGUAAUGAUGAAAAUAUAAAUAUUAUUUUCUUCAUCAAGAUAUUUAUUACUUCUUUAGCAUUUAAAAUUUGUAAGAACACAAAUGUAAAUGUACAUGUUUUCUAACUUUUAUGUUGAGGAGAAAAAAAAAAGCCUUACAUUUAGUAAAUCAAAUUUAAUUUUGUCGGUGCAUACAUGAUUCAAAAUUUACUUUCAUGACAUCGAAUUACACUCCCCAUUACAUCAUUAAAACACAUAAUCUACCUCUAUUCCACUAGAAAUUUAUUUUUUCGAAGGCCUAUUGACCUGGACGAAGACCUGUUGAGAAGAACAUUUUAGCUACUUCAGAGGAGAGUCUAAAUCAAGAGGCAAUUGGCUUCUGCUUAGACCACACGGUGGACAACCAUACAGGCAACAUGAUUAGAUAAAAGGACUAAUGAAUGGUGUUGAAGUUGUUCCCUCAAAAAUUGGGUAACUGCAAUCUUCUGUCAGCACUUUCUGAUCAUUUUCUUUGUUUAAAACGACUAAUGAAUGGUGAUGAAGUUGUUCCCUUAAAAAAUGGGUACCUGCAAUUUUCUGUCAGCACUUUCUGAUCAUUUUCUUUGUUUAAAAGGACUAAUGAAUGGUGUUGAAGUUGUUCCCUUAAAAAAUGGGUACUUGCAAUUUUCUGUCAGCACUUUCUGAUCAUUUUCUUUGUUUACCGUUUUUCCCCGGCAAAGAUCACAUGCAUGUUGAUUGUAUGACUUUCUUUAUCCACACUAUGUAUUGUUGUUGUCUGUUUGGGAUUCGCCAGAGGAUUUUCUUGGCUUAUGUCAUCUCAGACCGUCAUAUGCUAACCAUAAUCAAUGCUCACAAUGAAGACUUUUCUAAGCUUCAAUAAUUGAUGCUUAUUAUACAGAUUAGCAUAAAUUGGCAUGGAUUCGAGGAUUUGCGAUAUAACAACAUAUCCUGAAAGCUUACGAUAAUUACAAUGUUAUCCAAAAUGUUCCCUAUACUUGAAUACGUAGCUUUGCUUUCUGUGAUAUUGUUUCAAUUGGAGCCUAGAAUUGCUGAUUCUAACAACACAGUAAUGAGGUGCAUUGAUGAGGAGAGAGAAGCACUUCUCACUUUUAAACAGAGCCUGGUGGAUGAAUAUGGUGUUCUGUCUUCCUGGGGAAAAGAUAAUGACAAAAGAGAUUGCUGUAAAUGGAGAGGAGUCCGUUGUAGCAAUAAAACUGGCCAUGUCAAGGUGCUCAAUCUUCGAAGAUCCGACGAUGAAAAUUCUCGAGGGACAGUCUUGAAAGGUACAAUUAGCCCUGCUUUGCUUAAAUUGCAUGAUUUAAGACAUUUGGACCUUAGUAACAAUCACUUCGGUGGAAGCCCACUUCCUGAGUUCAUUGGUUCCCUCAGUAGAUUGAGGUACCUCAAUCUCUCUUGUGGUACAUCUUUAUUAAAAGUACCUCGUCCAUUCCAGUACCUUUCAGGAUUGGUAUAUCUUCACCUAGAAAACUCUAAUUUAUUUAGUUUGGGAAGCCUACAGUGGCUUUCUCAUCUUUCUUCUUUAAGGCACCUAGACCUGAGUUACAUUAAUCUCACUAAAUCUAGUGAUUGGUUUCAAGUAGUUGCCAAGCUCCGUUCCCUAAAAACAUUAGUCCUACACUCAUGUGCUCUUCCACCUAUCAAUCCUUCAUCUAUUUGGCACUUCAAUUUGAGUACGUCUAUUGAGACCCUUGAUCUCUCCGACAACAAUCUCCCUUCUUCAUCAGUAUACCCUUGGCUUUUCAAUCUUAGUCGGAAUAUUCAAUAUCUUAACCUUGGCUUUAACUCAUUACAAGGUUCAAUUCCAGAGGCUUUUCAACUAAUGGUUUCUCUUAGAUUUCUCUAUCUCACCUCUAAUGAACUUGAAGGUGGGAUUCCAAAAUUCUUCGGAAAAAUGUGUAGCUUAAAUAGAUUAUGCUUGCCUUACAAUAAACUCAGUGGAGAUCUCUCGGAGAUGAUUCAAAAUCUGUCUGGUGGAUGCACGAUGAAUUCACUGGAGGGUGUAUGUUUAGAAGGCAAUGAUAUCACAGGACCAUUACCUGAUCUUGGAGGUUUUUCAUCCCUAAAAAUAUUAGUACUUGGAGAAAAUCGAUUAAAUGGAACAAUAGACAAAAGCCUCAGCCAGUUGUUGAAGCUCGAGUCUCUGUCACUUGGUAGGAAUUC